UUUUAUUUUUUGUAGAAUGGAUGUAUUGUGUGUUCAAGUGUACCAGUACUUUUUCACUCCUAGUAUGCUAGCGACUAUGAAAAUACGUACUGAUGGUUCUUGGCCUUUCUUUUUGCAGUACUUAGUAAUUUUCUAACAACUAUUAGCAUGAUGUUGUUAGUACUAAAUGUUGUCCUCGGCUGAAACUUAGUCUUUUUAGUGUUCUUCUGAAACUAAAAACUAAUUUUUAGUGUGAUAGUACUAGCAUACAUGACUAAGUUGUAUUGAACGUCCAAGGCUACUAUUUGAUGCUGUCCUUAGUUAGUCUGCCACUGUUUUUUGUGUAAAUAUCCAUUUGUGAUUUGUUGCUCCAUGACUAGUGUUGCAUAGCAGCAAUCAAGUUUCCUUCACAACCUACUCCAACUUCAAAUGAUGGAUAAACAAAAUAGGAAGCUAGCAAACUUGUCUAAAGACAUAAGCAAACGAUGUACUUGAUAAACAUAGGCAAACUUGUUCAAACCCUAACACACAUAACUUGUUCAAACCCUGACAUGCAUAACAUAAGGAAGCUAGUUCAACUUAACAAAAGCAAACUACAAAUCUGAAACAACAAGAUUAAGGACAAGCAGAAGUGUGAGCAACACGAAGGCAGGCUAUCAUGUCUCUUCGUCCGGUGUAGUGGUAGUGGUAGUAGGGGUCAGCCUCCUACUACUUUGAGAUUUCCCAACAUGUUACGAUGUUGUCAAUUAUCUUCCAUGACUUGUAUGUGGCGUACGCAUCUAUUACUCCGUUGAGCUUGUCUGGUAGCGGGCUGAUCCCCCACAGAUUGUGGUCUUCCUCCCUGACGAUCUUCUUCUUCAUGCCAUUGUAGAAUGGGCGGAUGACGCUGGCUGCGACAUCCGCCAAGGAGUCGUACUCUUUUCUAGUGUCUGGAACUCUCCAGAGUCGCUGAAUGUCGGUGAAGUUCUUGGGGUUGAUCUCCAAACCAGACUUGUUCAAUAUCCGCUUGUCCCCUUCAAUGCAGAAACCGGCAAAUGUGUACAAUUUCUCCUCCUGCGGGAACUCUUUGAGGCGCUUGGGCCUGCAAUGUGGGAGACACAUAUUGAAGAUUAGUGUUCUUUUUUGAAGAUUACAUUCUUCUGUUUUUUGGUUUACAAGUGAUAAUCCAUGAUGUAGAUGCUUAUAUAGUACAAGUCAUGGAUGAAUGUAGUUCAGAAACUAGUACACAAAGUCUUGAAAUUAAAUUCAACUACACCAUGUUAUUUUUCUUUUUUGGUAUCUUCAGUGCUUCACCAAAUGCUUCACCAAUUUCAAGAACCUAUUUACCAGAGCAUUGAUAUAUGUGAUGCUUACUUCAAGUUUAGUUUUCUUUUUUACUGAAUAAAAGACCUAUACCAGUGCUUCACCAAGUUCUUACUUUAUUUUUUGCUGCUGAAAAUAACAUCAGACAAGGUUCAGAAACUACUUUGUAAAUCAAGUUUUAGAAACAUCUUUUAAUACAUCAACUCUGUAAACUACACUACUGCAUGAAGAUCAGAAACUAUGCUAGUACAUCAAGUUCAGAAAAUAAUCCGGUGAAACAUUUUCAUAUGCUAAUCGAGUGCAUCAGUUUUCAAAAUAUAUUAUAGUGCAUCUACUUGAGAAACAUGUACUCGUGUAAUCCCUUUCACAAACUACAGUAGUUUUAUCUAGUUGGGAAACAAGUUUAAAGAAAUUUUUAGGUAGUAGUACUAGUAGAAGAGAUGAAUGAAGAGUAGUAUGGGUUACCAUUUUGUGGCCAUUGCGAUGUGGUACACCAAGCAUAGUUCUUCCACGCACGACUGCAGAACUGCGACCAUCUGGGGAGGUUCAUCUUUUUUGGAAAACUCCACAUCAACUCUGAUGAAACUAGGGUACAAGCCGUCGCCCUUCACCCUGAGCCUGCUCAUCAUCUCGUCGGCCUUGUCUGGUUCGCUAGUGCGGACGAUCUCCAGCGCCUCCUUGUCGUGGAGCUCAACCCCUGUGAGGGUUUUGGUGUACUCGCGCUUCUCGCCGGGGACGUGAACAUCAUCAAGGUUGCUGCUCUUGUCGUACGUCUCACCAUGAUGACGCUUGGCGGACGGUUCCUCCGCCAUUGCCCUCCUCCGGCGACUGUGGGCUUGGAAGAGAGAAGUUUCUGGGUUGUCUGCAGUGGAGAUGGAAGCAGCAAUGGUGGUUCUCGAAAUGGAAUGAGGCAGAGAUGGAAGACAACGGGUUAUUUCCAGUGCGUGGACAGGGAUUUGUGAGAGGCAGUUCGUCGAGGACGUGGGUGUAGUGGUCGUGGGCUGCAAUUGCAGUUCGUCGUGGCAACCGCCCAGUGGGUGGCGCGGGUGGUGUCCUGGAAGAACCAACCAUCCAAGCCAAGGGUUUUUUACUGGUCGUACUGAGUAGUCUUAUCAAACUCUACUUAUCAGCUGCUUAUCCCACUUGCACGUCUUAGGGUCUCUGAUGAUGGCAUUUUGCAUUGUUUAGGUGACGUAUACUUUGUGAUGUUUUAAAGUGUGGAGGUUAAGUCUUCUUUUUUCCAUGAAGCCUUAUACACUGGUUGUUCUCAAAACUUUUUUCAGUGCCCUGCGAGUUGUUGCUCAAAAUUGGGACUAAUUUAGGCCUUUAUAGUUUUUGUACUCUCUUUUUAGUGUACUUAUGGUUUAGUGUUGUGUGUACUGAAUGUAAUUUCAUACAUCGUAAGGUUUUGAAAAUUGGUGUCACAAUGGUGUGACUGGCCUGACCCUUCCUGGUUUUGUAGUACUGAUGUCAUAUGUAUGUUUGAAUAGAUUUUUUUGGGAUUGAGAUUGUUUACGACGAAAUUGUUUGUUCAGCUCUAGUCAAAUCUUAUAUAAAUAAGAAAUUUAGUAGAAUUGACAAACAAUAUCUAUUUGAACUUCUUGCAUUUUAGUAAUUGAACUAGUAAAAUUUUAUAUAAAUAAGAAAUUUAGCAGAAUUGACAAACAAUAUCUAUUUGAACUUCUUGCAUUUUAGUAGUUGAACUUGAAAGUAAUAUUUAAUUCACUGGUUUAAAUUAUGUACAUUUAACACAUAGCCUAUUAUGUGCUCCACUUUUCUAAGUUUCGUUGUUUUUGUAUCAUAUUUUUCCUCUUUUUUAUCAUCCGUGGUGCAGAGCCAAAAUUAUUUUUAUUUUUAUUUUUGUAUUUAAAAUUAUUGCCUGCGAACUAGUAUUUGAACUUUUCUAUUUUCAGUUUUUGAACAUUUUUUGUAGUUUAUAUUGCCCGGUGCUCUGCUUUAUUCAACUUGCCUUAUUGGUGGGGUGUUUGGAGAUGAUGGAGGCUAUUGGGCCCUUUUCCGGCCCAAAUGGCUCGCGUGGGCAAUUUGAGUACCGCUGGAUUUGUGUGUGAUCUGGGUUUAAUCCCACCUCGCUAAGGGAGGGGGCUCUCGACCUGUUUAUAAGCGUUGUCGAGUCCUACUAGUCGAACUCCUCUAAAUACUUACCUGAGUACUUAUACACGGCGCUCGAUCUCUCUCAUGACCUAUGGGCCCUGGUUGGCUGGCCCUGCGUUGUACGGAUUACUAGGGAUUCGCCAACAGUUCCCAUCGUAGGCUCGAGUUCAAGUAUCUAGCUGCGUUAGGGCCUGCCUAUCUUCGGGCGGUCAAUUUUUAUUUUUUUGGUUUGAAUCUAGUACUUGACUCCACCAGUAAUGUGUACUGAUACUUUUUUGUUGUAGUUCUAGUUAGUUUUGUGGAAAUGUUAUCUUUUCAUUAAGUUUUUGCCUUUUUGUGUUUGCUUUUGUGAUUAUUCUCAAGGGGCUUCUGGUAUCAUUCUUAGCACUGUAGUACUUGCAUCUAAACUAAGUUGUACUGAGAGUUCAUUCAUAGUAGCACUUAUGUGCUUAGUCUGACAUUUUUUGAGGGAUAGUGAACUGAUGCUUCUUUGUACUUUUUAUUGUAGUUAGUAUGUAUUGUCCGUUCAAGUGUACUAGUACUGUCAUGCUUAGUUUGCAAGUGACCAAUAUAAGUGUUUGCUGAUGCUUUCUUAACUUUUCCUAUUGUAGUACUUGUUAAUUUUCUAGCAGCUACAUAUAAAUGAGAACAAUACAUCAAGUCGUAAGAUUUUUUUGCUACAACUUUUGAAGCGUAGUUAAGCAGCUCAAAUUGUACUGAUUGUUUUCAACAUUAUGUUUUCCAUACAAUACUAAAUCUAAACUACACAUGGAACAUCCUUGUGUGAUUAGUCGCUUCAUAACUAGUGUUGAAGAGUAGCCACAAAGUUCCAUUCACAAGCUACUUUGAAUUUGAAAUGAUGCAUUAACAAAAUACGAAGCUAGCAAACUUAUAUAAUGAGAUAAGCAAACUUUUUCAACUGUGACAAGCACGACAUAACUAGACUUGUUCAACCAUGACACACAAGACAUAAGCAAAGUGGUUUAACCUAAAAAGAGCAAACUAUGAAUUUGAAACAACAAGAUAAAAAGCAAGCACAAGCGCAAGCAACACGAAGGAAGACUUUCAUGUCUCUUCAUCCCGCAUAGUGGCAGUGGUAGUAGGGAUCAGCCGCCUACUCUUUUGAGAUUUCCCAACUUGUUGUGAUGUUGUUGAUUAUCUUCCAUGACUUGUACGUGGCGUGCGCAUCUAUUCCUACGUACUCUAUGAGCUUCUCUGGCAGCGGGCCGGUCCCCCACAGUUUGUGGUCUUCCUUCUUGUCGAUCUUUUUCUUCAUGCCUUUGUAGAAUGGGUGGAUGACGCUGGUUGCAACAUCAGCCAAGGAGUCGUACUUUUUCCCAGUGCCUGGAACUCUCUAGUUGCACGGCAUGUUGAUGUAGUUGUCGGGGUUGAUCUCCAAAUAAGACAUCUUCAGCUUCUCUUUGUCCCCUUCAAUGCUGAAACCGGCAAAUGUGAACAACUUCUCAGGCUUCAGCAUCUCAUUGAGGCGCUUGGGCCUACAGGGGGAAAGACAUUUUGAAGAUUAGUAUUAUUUUGAUGUUUGAGUUCUUCAUUUUUGUUUUGUUUUACAAUCGAUGAAUCCAUGAAGUAGAUUCUUAUAUAGUAUAAUUAAUGGAUGAAUGUAAUUCAGAAACUAGUAGUUUUGUUCUGAAAUUAAAUUCAAGUACACCAUGGAUUAUAUACAAUUUGAGUCAAUGAUGUAUCUGCUGCUUUACUACUAGUUUAGUUUACUUUUGUUGAAUAGAACAACACAUACCACUGCUUCACCAAGUUCUUAGUUUUUUGCUUAUUAAAAUAACAGCAGACCAAGUUCAAAAACUACUUCAAUACAGCAAGUUCAGAAACAUCUUUUUAAUACAUCGAGUUCAUAAACGACACUAUUGAUCAACAUCAGAAACUACACUAGUACAUCAACUUUAGAAAUUAAUCUUCUACAGGAUUUUCAAAUAGUAAUCCAGUGCAUCAGGUUCAGAAAUACAUUUAUAGUGCAUCUACUUGAGAAAGUGCAGUAGUGCAUCCACUUUUCACGAACUACACUAGUACAUCUAGUUGGGAAACAAGUUUGAUGAAAUUUUGAGGAUAAAGUGCUAAUUAAACAGAUGAACCAAAUAGAGCAAAUGAGUAGGAUGGGUUAUCAUUUUGUGGCCGCUGCGAUGUGGUACACCAGGCAGAGUUCCUCCACGCACAAUUGCAGGACUGCUGCCAUUUGGGAGGUUCAUCUUCCCUAGUGUACUCCACAUCAACCCCGACAAACCUAGGAUACAUGCCGCCAGCCUUCUUCCAGAGCCUGGUGAUCAUCUCGUAGGCCUUGUCUGGUUUGCUUGUGCAGACGAUCUCUAGUGUCUCCUUGCCGUGGAGCUCAACCCCUGUGAGGGUUUUGGUGUACUCGCGCUUCUCGCCGAGGAUGUGAACGUUGUCGAGGUUGCUGCUCUUGUCGGACGUCUCGCCAUGAUGAUGCUUGGCGGACGGUUCCUCUGCCGCUGCCCUCCUCUGGCGACUAUGGGCUUGGAAGAGAGAAGUUUCUGGGUUGUCUGCAGUGGAGAUGGAAGCGGUAAUGGUGGUUCUCGGAAUGGAAUGAGGCUGAGAUGGACAGGGAUGUGUGGGAGGCGGUUCGUCGGGGACGUGGGUGUAGUGGUCGUGGGCCGCAGUUGAAGUCCGUCGUGGCAACAACCCAAUGGGUGGCGCGGGCGGUGUCCUGGAAGAACCAACUGUACAAUCCAAUUUCUUUGCCAGGGUAUUAAUCUGGUCGCAUUGAUUAAUCUUGUCAAGCUGCACUUAUCAGUUGCUUAUCCCACUUGCUCGUCUCAUGGUCGGUGAUGAUGGCAUUUUACUGUCACACUGAUCCGUCUUGUCAAGUUGUACUUAUCAGCUGCUUAUCCCACUUGCACGUGUCAGGGUUGGUGAUGAUGGCGGUUUGUACUCCUCUAUUGUGGGUACCUAGACUGGUGAUUGUAGUGUAAUUGAACUUACCGAAUACCAGUCAGACUAUGUGUGUCAUGCGGCUCUUUUUUAAAACAUUUUUUGUUUUUUUGAAAGGAUUGUUUAUAUCAACAUAAUCUUUGAAAGUAUUUUUACAGAUAAAUUAGUUUGUCAUCAGUACAGGUGUAUUAUAUUUGCACUUUCAUUAUUUUCUAUUUGCUUGAGGUAAUUAUUUUUAUGUACUGAUGGACUUUCUGAACUAGGACUGGCAUAACCAGACAUACCUUGUUUUUGAAACGAUGUUUUUUGAGGUGUUCACGGGUGUGUUUGGUUACUCUGCCUUGUACUGAUUAGUGAGAAUUAUUAGUACUGAUGUACUAUAAGAGUUUAAAUGUUCCUUAACAUAUUUUUGCUGAGUUAAUGGUCGACACUAGUGUUGACGUUACAUAUAUCCAAAUCAGUUUUUUCAAAUAUAUUUAUGACUGCAUUCAAAAGGUUUAUCAAAUGCUUUACAUAAUAAUGUCACUGGUCCAGUGGCACAAAUCACAAAUUAUAUCUUAACUACAGUACUGAUUGAGAAAUCGAUGAUAAAUCUAAAUAAGUUUUGGUAACGACAGUGUUUUAUGAUAUGAUUCCUCAUUGUGUACCAAGGCAACCGAGAGUACAAGCUUAUUUUUGAAUUGAUGCAGCAGCAUAACAACUAUGGAUUAUUUAGUCUUGAGAUCCUCCUAACUGGCCCUGAAUGUUGUCCCUUGUCGGCGCCCUUUCCUGGUUGAUCCUUGGCAGCUUCAUCGUCAGUUUUAGUUUCCUCGUCCCCAAUACUAUCAUCUUCAUUGCCUCCGUCUGAUUGGUCGUCAUUCUCGUCAAACUAUUCUUCUUCAUCCUCUUCUUUUGAUUUUUUGGAGCUCUGGACCUUGCCCUAUUUCUGUUCAGCGCCACUGACCUCCUUUCCCACUUUGCAUGUGUGGGCAUUAUGUCCGUCAGUUCCCCCACACUUGCGGCAAGUGUAGCUGUUACGUGUGUUAUCUCCAUUGGUAGAAACUUGGGCGGCUCCAAUCUACUUCUGCAGCUUUUGUUUGUUCAAUGGGAUCUGUGCGGAGUGGGCAUGUGCGGUAAUUAUGAUUGGUCACCACGUUGCAGAAUCCACAUGCCCUUAUCCCGAGAGGUUUGGCAUCCGGGCCGAAUUCCACGCGUCUGAUGGGGCGUGGCGGCUUUUUGGCUGCUGCUUUCGCUGCUUGCGUCUUACUCUUCCUCCCCUUUGUGUUUGAGAAUAUGGGUGGUUUAAUUACCCUUUCCUGCUGCUGCUGGUAGGAUGUCCUGUUAUCAUGUCGUUCGCCUACAGCACCAUCAAGCUCAUGAUCUUGCACGUUAGCAUGUUGCUUCUCUUGAGUGUGCACAUGGGCAAGCUCUGGUUGUUGUUGCUCCUCUUCCUCAUUGUCGAAUGGGUCAAUAGCUCCCAGAUGGUUCAUCUCGGAUAAGAUUGUAGCAAUAUCCUGCUCAAUGGCUUCGUUGUCAGCAACACCUCCGUUUUCAGCAGAAUGCAUGGUGUCGAGUUCUUGUUCAAGUCUUUCCAUGACGACCCGUGACCUUGCCAUUUAGUCUUGGCUUCUCAAGCUUUUUCUGUGCACCCUCAUGUCCAGCUGGAGCAGUGCGCUUUCAAUGCAGUAUUGGGAGGCCUUGUUUGACGCUACUGUCCUCAAGUCAUUUCUGUUGAAUGUUGGCUGGAUGUUUGGGCGUUUGGUGUAUCUCCUGAGGAUGUAUUUCUCUGGAACGCUGGCAGCCUUAAUUAUUUGCAUCAUGCACAGGACAUGCAUGCAAAAAAUGCCUGUAUUUUUUGGAAGAGGUGCAUUUUUUUGUCAUUUCAUUCGAACAAAAACUUUGCAAAAAUAACUAGUACAGUAUGUAACAUCUUUUUUAGUCCUCGCCUGUGUGGUCCCAUAGCUUGCACUCACAGUCAUAUAUUUCUCCCACGGGGUCUGCAACCACCUGGAACGUGUGCUGAGACCACGCAAACAGUUUUUGCGGUUUGUUGUAGCGCACGAGGUACUUUGUGGGCUGCUCCGUCUCUAUCGCCGUGAAGAGUGUACUCAAUUUUAGCCUUUUUCUGAUCUCGAUGUACACAACUCGUGAGUAAAGCUUUGCCAUUUGAGUGUCAAACCCAUAGAAGGUCAGUGUGUAUUGUUCCUUCUACACAAGCAAGAGUGAUGACCAAAUUAUUAGUUUUCUCGCAGGAAAAACUUGUCUAACUAAUAAAGUUUUACUUUAGUAAGCAUGUUAUUUUGUCUUACAACAGGUGAUAGAGCUAUACCCGGUUACCCAUUGUCUCCUAGUUCUCUGUCUGCCUCCUGGUUUUAACGCAGGAGUUUACCUGGCUGACAAACCGGUGGAGGUUUUGUCUCUCACUUAUGAAGUUCUUCUUGAGCACAUAGUUCAUGCUCUCAUUCCGUUGUGUGGACGUCAUUUUGGCAUAGAAAAUUUCUUUGAAGUAAGCUGAUAUCCAUUUCUCGCGCUCAUUCCACAUUGCCACCAUUGUUGCAUCAUCAUGGAGGUUGUACUUAUCCAUGAGUGCUUUCCAGGCAGCCACAAACUCAGUUGGCAUGAGGGGCCAGUUGAGGAUUGUUGUGAAUUCAUCCUUAAAGGUUUCAUGGAGGUUGUACAGGUAUGCGAGGUGUUCCAUGUACUUCUUCAUAAUGUGCCAGCAGCACAGCUUGUGUAUUGUGUUCCCGAAAGCAUCUGGGAUCGCCAAAGCCAUUGCGGGGCACUGGUCUGGUAAUGAUAAAAGAGACGUGGAGUGGUCAGUAGAUUGUAGUGCAUAUAUACAAAUAGAACCGACACAACAUUUUUUACUGUGUUAUUUUCCUUUUGGGAGGGGGGAGGGGUGGUUUGGUGGUUGUACCUAUGAGGAUGCAUGUAGGAGCUUUCCCUAUCAUGCCCCUUAAAAUGUUUUGAACAACCAUCUGAAUGAAUCUGCAUCCUCAUCUCUUAUUAGGGCGAAAGCAAAGAAUGUAGUCUGUAAGUGGUUGUUAGUACCCACAAACAUCCCAAGUGGCAUAUGGUACUUGUUGGUCUUAUAUGUGGUGUCAAACGUUACGCGGUCACCAAAGUCUUGAUAAGCCCCUCGGUAGCUUGCGUUCGCCCCGAAUAUGUUCUUCACUCUGUCGGACUCAUCAAGUUGUAUGUCGCAGAAUAAUUCCCUGUUUAUCGCUUUCAUCUCCCUAAAAGAGUUGACAGUCUUUAGGACAUCGUCCACAUCAUCCAUCCUUGAAUUCUUUGCUUUGCUGCAUAUUAAAAGUGAACAGUCAUUCAAAAAUGCAUGUUGAACUGGCAUCAGGUCAUGUGUUGUGUAAUAUGUUUGUACUGACAGAGGUAAAAAGAUGGAGCGGGUUUAUGGGAGGAGAACAAGUUUGUACUUACAUGUUAAUCAGGUCUUUGGCAUUCAUUUCGAGGAAGUACCUACCGGGGUCAUCGCCGCCCAGUAUGCUCAUGGUUUGCGUGUGUUCAAUGCCUUUGAACUGCAGGUACUUGACGUACUCCAAGAUUGUUUUGUCAAAGUUUUUGUGGGAGUGCAAGAAGACAAGCAUUUGGGGGAGAGUUGUAGUCUGUGGUUGUGUUCCCAGACUAUCUCUUAUGACAAGUGUUCCAUCAUUUUCCCUCUUCAGCCUCAUUUUAGCCCCAUAUUUAGUCCUGGAUAUCGUCUUGUUCCACUGUCUAUUUGCUUCUGACACCUUCGAUUCAUAGAAUCCAUAGCACGUGCAAUAAAGGUAGAUUUUGGUGUUAACUUUGGAGCCUUCCCUGACAACAAAACUCGCGUGCUUUGCAUAGACGUUGUAGAAGUUCUUUGCCUCUUUGAAAGUUUCAAAGCGCGUCUCUAGCCUUGGCAGAACAUAAACUUCAAUGUUAGGUGGCUACACGCAAUAGUGAGCAAACAAAAACGUAGUUAUGAAAUGUUAGAUGGGGUGGUCACGGUACUAGGGUAUGGACUGUGCUUGUAUGUUUUUCCUGAAUGGAUACUUACAUGUGUAUAGCUCUGUGCUACCUCUGGUGUUUGCUGUUCACCCUGGUGUAUGGGCGCGGUUGGUGUUACCCUCAGCACAUGCAGCAAGGCAUCUCUUGGAGGGAGCACUGUUGAUGAAGCUCUCCGUCUCUCAUUGUACGACCGUCUUUCAUCAGAUUCGUUCUGAGGUCGCUCCUGUCUAUAUGGCUCAUAUCUUCUACUUUGCACCCUGCUAGAGUGGCAAACAUUUUUAUCUCUUGGGCGUGGUCUUCCCGUCGCAACCGCUUUUGCAGCACGGAUGAUUGAUGUUGGCGGAGCAACUGGUGGAAGCAUGUGUGUCCUUUCCUUUCUACAUGCGUUAGGGAUGGAAAACAUUUGCUGUUGGGGAAAUUGUUGACCUUGUUGCAACCCAGCAGUGGCAAAGCUUGUAUUCCCGGAUAUCGGUGUUUGCUGCAUAGAAGAACCUGUCCGUGCUUCUGAUGAUUCUGGUGUAGCUGGAAAUCUGCAUGUAUUGUUGAAGUAUCCAUGUGCUAUUUCUGGUGUUACCCAACCAGGCGGUGCCCCGUAUCUUCUUGGCUCAUCAAACCCUCAUUGUGUGUGCCGCCUUGCAUGUUUCUGCAAUGACAUUCAACAGUUUUGGGAUUAAUCUUUUCUGCAUUUUCUCGUAUACAUGAUAUGGGUAACAUGUCAUGCACUGAAGGUAAUGUACAAGUUGAACUUGCAUCGCUGGGUGUUAUUAAACUUUGUUCUCUAUUUUGUAUCUGAUUUAGUUUCAGUCGAACUGAUGAAUGGACAUGUUCAGCACUGAUGUAUUGAUGUACUGAUUUUUAGCACUGAUGCAUCUGUUAUGGAAAGUUUUUUAUCUUUUUCAUACAACUGAUGCAUAAACAUUUUGGUGGACUGCUUGUAAACUGAACAUUGAACUUCAGAGCAGUAUGCAUAUGCAUAUAUAUAUAUAUAUAUAUAUAUAUAUAUAUAUAUAUAUAUAUAUAUAACUGAUGCAUGUCUUCUCUUUUUUCAUCUAGAACUUAUGCAACUACACUAGAAGUACUCCUAGUUUAUGUAUCAUUGAACAUACUGUGUAACAAGUGUAUAUUUUUUUAACAACAUUCUUUUACUCGUUCGAACUGACACAACUACAUGACAUGUACUAUUAGAAAUAACAACAUACAACUUGCAGUGGUAGCUGAACCUUAUAUAAAGCCUAGUAGCUACUUGGACUGAUGCAUAAGUUUAUGUUUUUUUACUUGAACUGAAGGUAGCAUAUUAGAGGUACUAACAGUAACCUCGACAUCCAAAUUGUGCAUCAAGUGGCAGGGGUGUAAUGAAGUGAUGCAAGCAUUUGCAGUGUACUAUCAGCUACUGCAUCAUAGGAACAUGUGUCACUGAUGCAGCACACAUGUAGUAGUGAUGAAUCUAAUAGUGUAACAUGUAGGCACAACAUAGUGUGUGCAAUUUUUAAAUUGAAUCUUCUGCAUAGCAGGACUGAUCAACUGAUGAACUGACACAAACGUGGUAUUGUUCUUCAGGCAAACCCAGACAUGAAAACAUUUUUUGAAUUGAUCGUUUGUGCUUUAGUAGCAAUCAGGCAGAUUCAAUUUCAAGGAAAAUUAGUGUGGGAAGUAGACAUCACCUCCAGUGCCUUGUUCUUGGAUCGGACUUCUUCUUCUUCCUCUCGUGGGCAGCGUACUGGCAUAAUCUUGGAAGGCGGCGCCAUUGAUGCAGGCAAUGAGCUUGGGGAGACGACGACGCUCCUACUUGUGGUGGAGCUUCGGCGACAAGGUCCGGCAAGGGGGAGGCUGGUGGCGUCGAAGGAGCUCUGGCGAGGGGGGGCUGGUGGCGGAAAUCACGGAUCCGUCGAAGGAGCUCCGGUGAGGGGGAGGCUGGUAGCAGGGAUCACGGGCCCGUCGGAGGAGCUCCGGCGAGGGGGGAGGCGGGAGGCGGGGAUCACGGCCCCGUCAAAGGAGCUCCGGUGAGGGGAGGAGGUAGGAGGCGAGGACCACAGCCCUCGCGAGGGAGGGAGGGAGGCAGGAGGUAGGGAUCACGGCCCCGUCGUUCCUUUGCCAGUGAGCAAGGGGAUGGCGGCGGUGGAUCCGUCGGCGGCCAGUCACGGCGCAGUGGGCUCCCUCGCUCUGGCUGACGCCAUCGCUCACUCGCCCACGACGGUUGCCUCCGGCGGAAGGAGGUGGGUUGGGUUCGGGCUGGGACGGGAUGGGGGGAUUCUACGGUGUAAGUGUGUCGCGCUCUUAUAGGGUCAGGGGUAACAGAAUAUUAUUCUGUUACUAGUAACAGAAUAGUCCUAUGUAUAUAUAUAGCCGGUCUAUUGUGCUAAUAUUAGCAUAAUAGUUAUUCUGCUAACACUUCCGAACUGCACGCUCAACGAAAGUGCACGUCAUUGUUGAUAUAAGAGCACUGGACUACUUAUGCGAGUGAACUUCCCGUCGCAAAAAAUUGCACGCAGUUUUUUCGGUACUGUUUUUACUCCAAUUUUUAAACCGUUUGUCAGAAUGAGGCAUGUAAUAUACCAUUGGAAAGCUAUGGAUUAGGUUCAACUUCGCCAUGUAGAAAUUUUUCCGGGAUUCCUCACGGUUUAAGAUCAGUUUUGAAAACAGUGAGGCUCACGACGAGGGGCAGCGAGCGUAUUUUCACCUUUUAUUUUUUUAAACCGCUUGUCGAAAUGAAGGAAAUGAUACACCAUUGGAAGGAUAUCGUCGAGGUGCAACUUUUCCAUAUAUAUUACUUUAUCUAAUUCAUUAUGGUCUAAGAGCGGUUUUAAAUUUACUAAAUCAUGGAAUUAUGUUUCUUUAAUUAUUAUUAUUUUGCAAUUUUCGGUACUGUUCUCGCUCUAGUUUUUGAACCGUUUGUCGAAAUGAGACGUGUGAUGCGCCAUUGGAAAUCUACGGACGAGGUACAACUUUCAUAUGCAGAAUUUUUUUUGAGAUUCCUUACAAUUUUAAGUUAAUUUUGAAAAUCAUGCAGCGGACACGAGCGGCAGCGGCCAUCUUUUCGUGAAUUUUUGGCAAACCGCUGGUCAGAAUUAUUCUAAUGAUACGCCAUUGAAAAGAUAUCGACUAGAGGCAACUUUUUCAUGUAAAACACUCUCCCUAAUUCCUUGCGGUUUAAGAGCAGUUUUAAAUUAUCGAAAUGCGGACACUCUGUUUUUCGCGACGCCAAAAUCGAUGAAGGAACUACAUGAGACAGAAAAAUGCACUACUUCAGACGGAAAACUGCACUGCAUCAGACGGGCAAGUGAACUUCAUGAUCUGUUUCAUUUAGACGUAAAUUUUCUCACAUUGAGCGUAAGUGAACCGCAAAAGUAUGGAGAAGUGAACCGCAUUAAUUUUUUCGUUGUUUCGGUAACAAUUUUUCUUACACUUACAAGAUGAACAACAUCAAACAACCGACCACACUGCCUUAGUUGGAAAACCGCAGUGCAUCAAAUGGUCAAGUGAACCGCAUUACUUGUUGGGAAGUUUUUCUUUUCUUUUUUCCAUCGUGUGUUCUGCACUGUAAGGAUGAGGAGAGUAGUUAUGUGUAUACGUUCCUCCAUGAUAUUUUAUUUUUAAUCGGCACAUGUUCUGCACUACACGAACAAGACUAAUGUACUAGAGGGGCGGCACAUGUGCAUUGCACGUAGAAUGCAAAAAUACUGAAAACACAUUAUCACACGUUCAUCACAGGGGAAGGGCAAAAAACUUCAACACAGGGGAUGCAUCCCACGCAUCCCGGGGACAUCUGAGCUACAUGGUCAAUGUUAAUGAUCUGCAUCAUUUUUGUGUGUGUCAGUCUUCUCCAGUAAAAUAAGUUAACUGAACCACGAGGAACAGCCCCAUCUAAGCCGCACUAGAGCACACCCGCAUUUUAACUUCACCGCAGUGCACUGCAAAACAGAAAGAAGAAAACACACACAAACACGUCAGGGAUGGAUCGAAGCACAGGGGGUCCUCCUGGCGCAAGCAUGCACUGAAACGACUGUGACACCGGGCCGCGUGUGAGGCCAUGGCGAAUUGCAUCAGAAGGCAAAAAAACACGAGCGUUAAUGUUGCACAGCGCGUCGAACUUCAUCUGUUGUAGUUCAUUUUUCUUAUUACACUGUUUUUCAACGUUCUAAGAAUAGCAAACUGCAGUGCGCUAGACUUUUUGAAGUAGUACACAACAAAAUCUACCAGCACAUACAUGACAUGAGAUGAACUGCACAUACCCAACGAACCUGGAUACUUUGUUUUUGAAAAGAGAAAAAAAGGAAGUGAGUUGCGUUGUCAUUCCCGACACACUACUUGUUGCGCUCCACCAAACUGCACAACAUCAUGCAUGCACACGCUGCCUGAGUUGCAGGUGCACACCGUGAUGAAGAAUUUGCAUCCGCAUGCAAAAAACGCCAAAGGCUGCAAGCGUAUGAGCACUAAACUGCAUCAUGCACGCCUCCGAGCUACACUAUCAUGGUCGCCGAGCUGCACAUUUUUUUAUUGCACGAGGCGGAUGGUGCUCGGCGACUCGAGGCACAACCGGGAGAACGGCCCUCGUCAUGUGUGAGCAGGGGUGGAGUGGGAUGCUGAGCCUUCGGCGAGGACGUACCAGCCGAACUACACGGGAGCGUCAACCGAGCUGCACUGGGCGCGGCGCCGGUACCUGAAGGAGCACACCUACGGCAGAUGAACUGCAUCUGUGUAGCAACUGAGCUGCAUGGGGGCGGCACCUAAAAAUCACUGUGGGCGCAGGGGGAGAAGAUGCGAGCACAGAGGGGGUGAAAUUCAACUGUGCAGCGUGUCGGACGGCGGAUCUGGCUGUUGGAGGCCGGAUCCGACGCGAGAAGCACGGCAACGGCUAGAUCCAAAGCGGCGGCAGGGAGGGCAAGGUUCUGAGAUGGCCACCCGUGGCACGAGCAAGAUGAGAGGGUAAGGUGAGGACGAAGAAGGGAAGGAGAGAGCGGAGGGUGGCUCGGAUCCUGUGUUGUAGUGGUCGUCCAGCGUAGUGGAGAACUAGAUUGGUGUCUAGCGCGGUGGGUGGUGGUGGUCGUACGGCGAGAUGGGAAGUGAUGGUCUGGCUGUGGGUGGCGUGAUGGGAGGUGGCGCCCGGACGGCGCACUAGGAGGUGGUUGUUGGCUCCGUGCAGAUCCGGCCGGUGGUUGCUCUAGAUUUGUCGUCGGGAGUCUACCUCGCUGGGGACACCUCGGGUGUUGCCGGAUCUAGGCCCCUGCGAUGUGCUUGAACGUGAGGAAGGUCCCAUGCUCGCCGAAGGAGGCGAGGCCAAAGCGAGGUGGCGCGAGGGAGGGAGGUGGUGACUGGGGCGGGUGGCGCGCGGAGGGAGGUGGUGGUACGGCGCGGUGGAGGGACAUGGGGCGGCGGCGGGGGAGGGAGGUGGUGGUGUGGUGAGGUGGAGGGAGGUGGGGUGGGGUGGGCGUGGCCCCUGCUGAAGGAAGGAGGUGGAGGUGAGAGUUCGUGGAUGGAGGAAGGAGGUCGAGGUCGUGGGUGGAGGCAGUUUUCUCCGGUUGCUAUGUGGUCCGGGUCAAGUGGAUCAAGUAGUACACAAGUGUUACCAGAAUAAGACGUUUUGUGUGUAGAAUAAGACUCUUGAGGGGUGUUAUUAGAAUAGACUUCUCAUAACUACCUGACAUGUCCCAGCGAUAGUAGUUGAACUUCCCUCGGUGCUAGGUUUAACUUCCGCAAACAUUGCCCAAAUGGGGCUUGCGAUAUACCGUUGGAAAGCUAUGGACAUGAGUAUCAUGACCCAAGUUAAUUUUUUGGCAAAACAUAAGCGGUUUAAGAGCAGUUUUGAAAAUCAUUUUUUCCUCACACAAAAAACGUGAAUCAUAUUUUCGAUCCCAUUUCUAAACUGUUUAUGGGAAUGAGGCAAAUAAUAUGGCGUUGGAAAGCUUCUGCAAAUGCGCUCCUUCCAAAUAUAGAAAGUUUUCUCCAAUUCCCUAUGGUUAAAGAGUAAUUUCGAAAAUCAUAGAAUUUCGCAAACCGAACAGCCGAGUUUGUAUUUUCGAUGCCAUUUUUGAACGGCUAAUUCAAUGGAGGCAAAUGAUAUGGCGUUGGAAAGCUUAUGAAAAUGCGCUUCUUUUUCAUGUACAUUUUCUAAAUGAAUGGUUUAAUAGUAAUUGAGAAAACCAUCCAAGUUCCAUCGAGAUCGUAUUUUUGAGUUAAUUUUUUAACAGUAGGUCGGAAUGCAACAAAUGAUAUGGAGUUGGCCUGAAGAAAUGCGAAACUUUUUGGUAUGUAAUUUUUCUUGCAACUCCUUAUGGUUUUAAGUCAAUUUUGAAAAUGGUUAAAACGUUUUUUGGCUGUAAUUUUUGCAAAAUUUGUCAAAAUAAGGCAAAUAAUAUACCGUUGGAUAGCUAUCGAAAAUGCAAAACUUUUUCGUAUGUAAAGUUUUCUCUAAUUCUCAGUCAUUUAUAAGUAAUUUAGAAAAUAGCGAGAUCAUGAUUUCUCUUCAUCGCGAAAGGAAAUGCAUUGUGUCAAGUACUUGAACUUCUCUUACAGUUCUGUUUAAACUUCACUCUGUUUUUGACGUGUUGUUUUUUGCCCAUAACUCCCGAACCACUUACCCAGAAUUGAGCAAAUGAUAUACCGAUGGAAAGCUAUUGAAAACACACAACUUUCCCGUGUUGAUCAGUUUUUCAUGCUCGCAAUGGUUCAAAAGAAUUUUUUGAAUACAUAAAAACGUGUUUUAAAUGGUAUACAUGAAAAUUUUCAACCGUUCAUCGAAAUGUAGCACAUAAGAUACCAUUGGAAAGCUUAUGAAUAGCAGGAAGUUUUUCAUGUAGACAGGUGUUAUAAAUUCGUUGCCGUUAGAAAGCAGUUUUUAAAAUGGCAAAACAACGUUAUUUUUUGCCUUUUUUCAACAUGUAAAUUAAUGAAAAACACCUCGCACAUAAAUUUUGAACUAUGCUAGGAGGAGCGCGUGAACUUCUGGCAACAAACCUUUUAAGCUUUUUGUUUUCUGUUCUUAUAUUCUCAUCUGAAACGCAUUCUGUGUAGUAGUUGAACUUCCCGCUGUUUUCACCUUGAACUUCUAUCACGUAUUUUUUCUACCUCUCGCACAAGAAUUUUUGAACUUUCUCGGGUCGAGCACUUGAACUUCUAGCAACAAAACUUUUAGCCUUUGUUUUUACAUUAUUCUUAUUAAUACAAAAUGCACAUUGUGUAAUACGUGAACUUCUGGCAGUUAUCAAUCUGAACUUCUCUUGAUUACUUGAAAAUAUCUGAGUUUUUUAUAGACAUUGAACCACUCUACCCUUUUUAUUUGAACUUCAUUGUGUAUUUUUCAAAAUGUGAAAAUUGGAGGUUUUUUAGAAAUUGAACUUAUUGGUUUUAUGCUUUAGUAACUAGGAAAAUCCGAUUUUUCAAAUAAAUAUCAAAUUGCUCCGAUUUUCCAAUUGAACUUCUUGGUUUUAUUCUCUAGUAACGUGAAAACCUGUGGUUUUUUAUAUACAUUGAACUACUCCAUUUUUCGAAAUUGAACUUCUUGAUUUUAAUCUUUAGCAUCGGGGAAAUCUAGGUUUUCAUCAUGAUUAAACUGCUUCAUUUUUAAUUAGGACUUAAUGGUGCUAUUCAUUAGUAACGGGAAAAGUCCUAGUUACGUAAUAAAUGUCGAAUUGCUCAAUUAUUUAAAUUUGAACUUAUAGGUCUUUUUGAAAAAACAGGGAAAAUCUAUUUUUAUAAACUUUUUUGAACUGCUCGAUUUUUUAAAUUUGACAUUCUUGGUAUUGUAAGAAACAUUGAACUUCUCCGUUAUUUAAAUUUGAACGUCUAGGUUUUUUAGAAACAAGGAAAAUCCAUUUUCUUUAUAAUUUUUGUAAUUUGGCCUUCUUGGGUUAUUCUUUAGUAACGAGGAAAAUCCUAAUUUAGUAAUAAAUAUCGAACUAAUUCGUUAUUUAAAUUUCAACAUUUAGUUUUUUUAACUUCUAAGGGUAUUUCUAGAAAUGGAGACAAUAUGUUUUUAUAUUAAAACAUUGAACUACUCUAUUAUUUCGAUUUGACUUUCUUGGUUUAAUUUUAAAAACGGAAAAAAUCAUUUUUAUAAACACCAAACCAUUUUGUUAUUUUAACUUGAACUUCUUGGUUCUUUUAGUUUGAACUUCUAGUUUUUUUAGAAAUGGGGAAAAUCUAUUUAAACUUUUUUAGUUGUUCCUUCAUUUUGAUUUGAACUUCUUCGUUUUAUUCUUCAGUAACAAAAACUCUAACUUUUUAAAAACUUCGAACUUCUCUCUUAUUUCAAUUUUAACUUCUUAGUUUUAUUCUUCAGAAAAAAUAUAUUUUUUUAAAAAGCAGUAGACGUUAUUUUAAACUCAACUUCAUACUUUUAUUUUUCGUAGAAACAAAAAUAACUCGAGUUCUACAUAUAGAUCGAACUACUCCGUUAGUUUAUUUUGAACUUCUCGAUUUUUAUUUGUUUAGUGGCAAGGAAAAUCCGAGUUUUUUAAUUUGAAGUUCUUAAAAAUUAACUCAAACUUCUUUGGGUCUUUUGAAAUGGUGAAAGACAAAUUCUUUGUUCAAAUUUGAACAUCUAAGUUUUUAUUUAUUUAGAAUAGCAAAAUUUUGAAUUUUUUAUAAACUUUGAACUACACCAUAACUUUAAGUUGAACUUCUAGGUUUAUUCUAUCGUAUUAUUUAGAAAUCCAAGUCUUUAGUAAUCAUUGAACCACUUCGUUAUUUAAAUUUGGACUUCUAUGUUUUUCCUAAAAGCGGAGAAAAUCUCGUUUUCAUUGUCUUUUUCGUUGAACCGCUUCAUUAUUUAAACUCGAACUUCUAGUUUUAUUCUAUAGUAUCGUUUAAAAAUCCAAGUUUUUAGUAAUCGUAGAACCACUUCGUUAUUUAAGUUUGAACUUCUAUGUUUUUCUUAAAAACAGAGAAAAUCUCGUUUUUCAUUGCCUUUUUUGUUGAACCGCUUCGUUAUUUAAGCUCGAACUUUUAGGUUCUUCUUUAUUUAAAUUUAAAUUCCAUUAUUUCUAAUUUUCUUUAAUUUAACUAUAUGGUUUUGUUUUUAGAAAUGGGAAAAUCCUUUUUUAUAAACAUCAAACAGUUCUAUUUUAUUUUUAAAAUUUGAACUUCUUUGUUUCAUUUUUUAAUUUGAACUUUAAUUCUUUUACAGUUUGGAUUUCUCAAAAAAUUCUCAACGAACAUCAAGUCAAGUUUUUCAUAAGCCAAAUAAGGAAACAAUCCAACAAGAAAAAUACAUACUUUUAAAAAAAUCUUUCGAGGCAUAAACAGUGUGUUUUGAAUUUUGGACUAGGCUUCAUCGAACUGAGCAACUGGUUUUCACUGACACCUGAACGCUGAACUUGGUUGGUUUUAUUCUCUGACCUUCCACACUCGAUAGAUAUAGAAGGUCGUGAGAACUUUCUUCUCCAGCAUCAUAUGCAAAUUUCUCAAGCAUUGUAUCCACAUAAGUAGACAAAUCUAAAAUUUUGAUUUAUACAAAGUAGACAAAUCAUCACACGUGCAUACAAAAGCACAUGAGAUCUGCACCAAUGUACUCAUGUACAACCAAUUCAUCAUCAAAGUACGAGGCUCCUUGUUGAACAGAUCCGAGAGAAGAGGAAGGGUCUGUAAUUCGCGUGCUUGUAGCACAAGCGGGCAACAACAUCUCAUGCGCUGGCGAGCACGAGAUAUUUCUCGACGCAACCACGGGUGGGCAGCAAGUCACGGCGGCGGCGCGUAUGUAGGUGUAGAAAUCUGAAUUUUGUUCAAAGAAAAGUGAGAACGCCGAGCUUGUAGCUUGAUAGAAUCUGAAGUUCUUUGAAUCGGAGUUGGAAUUGUAUUCAGUGCCAACCUGAACUUCUUUGAAUCUGAAUAUGUAGUAUAAGAAGCAGCAAUAGCAACCAGCAGCAUUACCACCAUGUUCAGGAGCACGAGCUCAUGCGCUACAGGAGGUGUGAGGUGGGGAUGUCGUGCGUUUGAGGAAUGAUGAAACGUUCAGAACACUGCAAUGAGGCAUAACCCUGAGCACCUUUGGUUCACUACAGGCGUUUGCCUUCCUACAAUCGCCAUUGAACUUGGCACUUGGAGUUCUUUUCCAGGCACGGUGCACGCGCACAGAGAGAGCGCCAAACGAACUUGAACAGAGAAGGAACGGUCACCGCCGUGGGCACAUGCAGUUUGGUUCCUACAGAUGGGGAAGAAGGCAGGGUAGGGGAGGCACUGGGCCCCAUGGUGGUAGGCGAACAACAUUGGGAUUGGGUGGUGGGGGAGGAGCUCCAUGGCAAUGGCUGGAGGAUCUCGGCCAGAGCGGGGAUCCCAGGGUGCAGGGGUGGACGCGACGGCGGGGCUCCGGCGGAGGCGAAACCAGGAUUUCUCAAAGCCUAGGGCUAAAACUAAGUGCCUGUUUUUUUUUGCGAGGGAAAACUAAGUGCCUGUUUGGAGUCCCUCCGCUCCACAACUCUACUCCGGAGCGGAGCGGGCUGUAGUUCAAAUUUACAGAGCGGGGAAAUAGGUGCUCCACAUAUUCUGGAUAUUUCGUGGAGCUGGUGGAUUACCAAACAUGCCCUAACUGACUAAACAUUACGACAAAUAUCACGCACGCCAAUAUGUGUUGGGGGUAUGCCACAAAUUCACAUUAAAAACAAAAUAUAAUUUCAUUAUUUCACGAGAGGAAAUCAUGUAAAACAAAUAGUUUAAUAAAGUGCAUCAUUGCAAACAUUGUUUGGUACCAAAUUAUUGAAGAUUUGCUUAAUUCGAGGCCAUCAUUUCUUCACCAGCGAUAGUAGAAGGACCGGGAGCUGCAAACAUAAAAUCGAGUAUUUAAAGACUAAGUCAAUUGUUCAUAUGAAUUUUUACAAAAGAAGAGCAUAAUAUUACCAUUAUCGUGAAUGCAAGAGGUUGUAACCCUUUGCGUUUCCUCAUUUUUUUGAUAGCACCAAAUAAUCUUAAUAUCCUCAAUCCUGGAAAAAAGAUUUAAUUGAACGGUUCCUCAUCAUCUUGGAUUUCUAAUCUCCUGAUGACCAUGAAAUAAAACUGACUAAGUAAUACAAUUUAACAGCAUCAAUUCACUGAGUUUGCCUAAUAUGAAGGAACUAGGGAAAGAAUUGGAUGAUACAGUGUACAUAUUACCUGUGCGGCAGUGUGUGUGCACUGUAAUUUCAAUAUUUGGAGAAGAUCAGAAGGAGAGGCAGGUGGCAAGGACGCCGGAUCCGGCGGCCGGCGUGGCGGGGAAUCGCGAGUUGAUAACUGACGAAGGUGGCGGCGCAGGCGCGCAGCGCAGUCGAGCGAGGCGGGGGUUUCUCUGUUGCCGAUCGGAGAGGGAUUUUCUUUUUCUUGACGAAUGAGCGACAGAUCGAAUGGUCAACUUGCAGUCCGCGAUUGGUUUUCUGCUCCGAUCGAUGGACUGGAGUGGGGCUAAUGGGCUGAAGCCUUGUACGUGUACGUGAGGCCGAUGUGAAGCCUGGGGCUGGGCUUCUAUGUAUAACAAAUUCUCAAAUAUCGGCAACUAUGUGUUUAGGUGCUAGUUGGGCCACACCUGGGGCUACAGCCCCAGUUGCCCCAGGCCCAAUUUCGCCCCUGGGCUCCGGUGCGCCUAGGCCACGCCUGUGGUGUCGGAGGACAGUGGGGUGGUGGCGUGGGAGGAUCCAGGGACGGCGGCGGAUGUAUCGCAGGGCACGGCGACAUAGAGGUUGAAGCAGGGAGAUGCGGCAACCGCGGUAGAAGCAAGGGGAAGGAAGGUACCUUUGGUGGGGGAUCCUAGUCGGCAGCGGGGCGCUUCACCGGGGGUCGAAGUCGUGCUCGGGAAUGGAGGAGGGAACGAGAACAAGGAGACUGUUAUUGACAUGCCACGCUCGAGGAAGAAGGAGCCCGCCGGAGCAGCAUCGCUCCCACACGUGAGCAUCCAUCUGAUCCAGCGGGUCGCGGCUGUUGAAGGCGGCUGGAAACAGCCGUGCUCAAAGAAGAAAGAGCUUGCUGAAGCCUUGUACGUGUACGUGAGGCCGAUGUGAAGCCUGGGGCUGGGCUUCUAUGUAUAACAAAUUCUCAAAUAUUGGCAACUAUGUGUUUAGGUGCUAGUUGGGCCACGCCUGGGGCUACAGCCCCAGUUGCCCCAGGCCCAAUUUCGCCCCUGGGCUCCGGUGCGCCUAGGCCACGCCUGUGGUGUCGGAGGACAGUGGGGUGGUGGGCGUGGGAGGAUCCAGGGACGGCGGCGGAUGUAUCCCAGGGCACGGCGACAUAGAGGUUGAAGCAGGGAGAUGCGGCAACCGCGGUAGAAGCAAGGGGAAGGAAGGUACCUUUGGUGGGGGAUCCUGGUCGGCAGCGGGGCGCUUCACCGGGGCUCGUCGAAGUCGUGCUCGGGAAUGGAGGAGGGAACGAGAACAGGGAGACUGUUAUUGACAUGCCACGCUCGAGGAAGAAGGAGCCCGCCGGAGCAGCAUCGCUCCCACACGUGAGCAUCCAUCUGAUCCAGCGGGUCGCGGCUGUUGAAGGCGGCUGGAAACAGCCGUGCUCAAAGAAGAAAGAGCUNNNNNNNNNNNNNNNNNNNNNNNNNNNNNNNNNNNNNNNNNNNNNNNNNNNNNNNNNNNNNNNNNNNNNNNNNNNNNNNNNNNNNNNNNNNNNNNNNNNNNNNNNNNNNNNNNNNNNNNNNNNNNNNNNNNNNNNNNNNNNNNNNNNNNNNNNNNNNNNNNNNNNNNNNNNNNNNNNNNNNNNNNNNNNNNNNNNNNNNNNNNNNNNNNNNNNNNNNNNNNNNNNNNNNNNNNNNNNNNNNNNNNNNNNNNNNNNNNNNNNNNNNNNNNNNNNNNNNNNNNNNNNNNNNNNNNNNNNNNNNNNNNNNNNNNNNNNNNNNNNNNNNNNNNNNNNNNNNNNNNNNNNNNNNNNNNNNNNNNNNNNNNNNNNNNNNNNNNNNNNNNNNNNNNNNNNNNNNNNNNNNNNNNNNNNNNNNNNNNNNNNNNNNNNNNNNNNNNNGUGCUUGCCACAUGGAGUGAACUGUCCAAGGCUCUGGGAUCAACUGCAUCCAGCUCGCCGUGUGGGAGGGGUCGCCAGGAGGAGGCGGGGUGGCGGCACGACGGAGGAGGCGGGCCGACGGGGCGCCAGAAGGAGGGGGUGGCGGCGCGGCACGCAGGGCUGGUGGGCGUCGGGGGAUUGGGGCGGUCGCGGGGGUUGGUGGAGGUCGGGAGGUGGGGACGCCGGGGGGUGUUUUUUCCUUUUUUAAGUUUUCUGAUAUUGUGUUAUUCGAGUUCGGGAACAUCUAAUCGCUCUAUACAGGGGGCGAUCAGGAUCAUGUGAUCAUAAUAGUGAUAUAUAUAUAUAUAUACUAGGAAACAUGUCCAUGCGUUGCAAUGGGAGAAACUUUUUAUCAUACACACCUAUCUCAAUAAUACAUAAAAUAAAAUGAAGAAGCUGGUUAGUUUUCUUCUAGACAUGAAGGGUUUAAAUGAGAACAAACACAUAAGAGUGAUUGCAUAAUACAUACCUAUCACUUAAUGUUAUGACCUGAGUUUGUUAGUAAGUUAGAUGCUUUACAUUACUACCUUAAACCAAGAUAGUGCCAUAUUAUAAUCAUGGUGGUAAGAUAUUGCAAUGUCGUAAUUACCCAAGCUAUCUUAUCUUAAUAAUAAAGUAAGGUACUUUUGUUUACUAUAUUCUUUUGUUUAAAUAAUAUAUUUUUAGUGUAAUACCCCUAAAAAAAGUUUAGAAAUAAGCAUGAAUAAGUCUACCAAUGUCGGUAGAUGCGUUGAGAGUGUCAUGUUUUCUUGGAUGCAAUUUAGGAAAUAAAAAAUGAUAUUGAAGUAAGGGCACUGGUAUACACACAACAUUUUUUGUCCGACUUUAGUACAACGUUGAAGACCGGAUCAUAGAUGCAUAAUGACGAAGCCUAUCACACCGGCAAAUUAACCAUCCUAAUAAGUUACUGAGAUCAGAAAAUGAAAAUGUCCUAUGCCCAACUCUUUAGUUGAAGUAAAUUUACCUAGAUGUAAUUGUUCCUCCAUUCCACCUUCAACGUGUUCAUUUUCAAGGACAUUAAUCAUGUCAUCUUCCUAGUCCAGAACAACAACUUCAUUGAGAUCACACUGUAUGACCAUGACUUUUAAUUGUAUGUGUUUUGGUGUCGAUGAUUUAUUAUGCAGUCGCAUAUUGCCGUGUGUGUGCUAACUGAUUUAUAUAUAUUAGUCCAAGAUUGUUUAUGCAAGACUCUAGUACCAGUCCGUUGAGGACAAAGAAAUAGUACCAAAUCAAAUCCAUCUUUGGUUAAAACCGGAUAGCACCAAACAAACACAAUAUAUGAGAUCCCUCUGGGGGGCCGUCGUCAAAGCUGCCUCGGAUGCGAUGUAGUUGAUGCGCUGUUUUAGACUGUAUGAUUAGCAAAAGUAAGACACCUUUUUUCAAUGCAAAGAAAAUUAUGACUAUCAUACGGCCGGCGAUGUAAAUUGGCCAUUACUCCAGAAAAAUUGACCAGCACCAGGCGUGAUGCGUGCAUGAGCGUGUGCAGCAUGAGCAGUUUAAUUUCGGUCUCACUCUCAUUAAUUCCUUCUAUCCCAUAAUGCCAUAAUUCUCUCUCAUAAUCCCACAAUGUUCUCUUCUCUCUCUCCUUAAUUUUAUCACAUAAUCGCACAAUUUUCUACUGGCCUCUCUCUCUCAUUAAUUAUCUCCCAUAAUCCCACAAUUUUCUCCCAGCCUCUCUCUCUCCCAUUAAUUCUCUCCCAUAAUCCCAUAAUUUGAUCUCCUCUCUCUUCCUUAGUUCUCUUCCGGUCUUUCUCUUUUCCAUGAGCCGGUUUAAAUCCGUCUCCAUAAUUUCUGUUGGUCUACCUCCCUAGUCCGCUUAUUGUUAUCAAUUGGUAGACAUAUAUAAGUCAGUGGUAUUUUGUAUAAAGCAGCGAUGCGGGACAAUAUAAUUCUUAUGGGCCAACUGUUUAACAAGCAGCCUGCUAGUUUAGUUGGUUGUGCGCUAGUCAAACCAACAAAAGGUUGCGAGUUCGACUUGCAGUAGUCAUGUAUUUUUUUGCUCCCAGGAGAUUAGUACCACCUCGGGUAUAGAAAAAAAACAUGAGCAAAGUGGACAGACGACGACGGACCAAAAACUUCAGAUGGUCAUGAUCACAUUUCGUUGCAUCACCGAGAUACAAUAUCUCUCUCAAUUUCUCGAAAUCAUGAACAUUUUGAAAUUAUGAACAAUUUGUUAAACUCAUGCACAUAUUUGAAAUCGCAAACAACAUACUAUUACAAAUUUCUGAACAUUUUCUACAAUCAAGAACAUUUUUUCAAUUUAUGAAUAUUUUUUGCUAUUUACAAACAUUUUUUAAAAAUUGUGAACAUUUUUAAGCAAUUUUCCUGAACUGGCAAACAUUCUAUAAUCGAUGAAAAUAUUUAGAAAUUGGGUGGAAUAGUUAUUGAAUUUGAUGAACUUUUUUUGAUUUAGCGAACAUUUUUGGAAAUGCCCGUGCCUUGCAACGGAAAAAAACUAUCAAGUUAUACAUGUGUGGUAGAUAUAAAAAAGUAUGAAUCAAAUUCACAAAGUAUAUACAAAUCAUGUCAUGAUGCGAUAAGACACUUUUAAAAUGUAAUUUCAAAAACGAUCAAUAUGAUGCUCAUCAAGACUUGAUUUUUUAAGGCGUCACAACAAAAUAUUUUGUGGCUGAGCAAACUGCAUUGAUGGACCCUGCCUGAGCUAUACUGAUAAAUAAAGUGUCUCGUCUGGACUUAGCGUAGCGGUGUUUACCAUAACCACUAUUGUGAUAUGAAAAUAAGCAUAACUGUGUAUGGAAGCAAAAUAGACAUUUAGUCAUUUUAAUAUAGCUUACAGAAACAAACCCUUAGAAAGUUAUGUCAAUUUUGUUGGGUUCAGCGUUGUACAAAACACGGAAACCCUUUUUUACCCAACGCGAAGGACUAAAUAAAAUCAUAAAACGAGCUAUAUAGAUCUCCUAAUAAAACCUUUAUGGAACCUACAAUUAGUUUUGUUCAUUAUUUACGGAUGUGUUUUAAUUUUUGUGAACAUUUUCUAAAAGCUGAUGGUCAUGAUUUUUAAAUUCCUGAAUAUGCUUUGAAUAUUGGCUCAUUUAAAAAAAAUCAUGAACAUUUCUUAUUUCAUGAAAUCAUUAGAAAUCGUGAUUUGUUUAUAAUUUCUGAGCAAUUUUUUAAGUCAUGAACAUUUUUUGAUUUUUAGAAUAUUUUUUAAAUUCACAAACAGUUUACCAUUUUCCUACUUUUUUUAGAACUCGCAAUUGUUUGAUAUUUUGGAAAUCCGAAAUUAAUUUUGAGAUAAAAAACCAAAACAGAAAUAAAAAAGUAAAAAGAAAUAAAAAAUAGGGGGCGCCAUCAAUCCGAAAUUUAUUUUUAGGGAAAAAACAAAAUAGAAAUAAAAAAAAGAUAUAGAAAACAGGGGGCGCCACGACCCGCACAUGGGCUGGCCCAUUACUGCGCUUGGUAAAAAGAAAGAGAAAAAGCGUGAGAACCAGGGAUCGAACCCCGGUCUCCUGUGUGGAGCAUCGUUGCCUCAGCCAUCACGCUGCUCAUGCAUUGGUGCUAUUAUAUCGUAUCCACCUUUAAUAACAGAACCCUGGAGCGAUAUUAGAAAUUAAAAACGAAUCGUUUUUGCCACUUACGGGUGGCAUUGGUGGGUAAUUAUUGCCAACUUCGAGGGUUGUUUUUAUGACGUACCACCAGAAGUGAUGCGUGGUUUNNNNNNNNNNNNNNNNNNNNNNNNNNNNNNNNNNNNNNNNNNNNNNNNNNNNNNNNNNNNNNNNNNNNNNNNNNNNNNNNNNNNNNNNNNNNNNNNNNNNNNNNNNNNNNNNNNNNNNNNNNNNNNNNNNNNNNNNNNNNNNNNNNNNNNNNNNNNNNNNNNNNNNNNNNNNNNNNNNNNNNNNNNNNNNNNNNNNNNNNNNNNNNNNNNNNNNNNNNNNNNNNNNNNNNNNNNNNNNNNNNNNNNNNNNNNNNNNNNNNNNNNNNNNNNNNNNNNNNNNNUAUAUGAAGUCCAAAUCAAACAUUGUGAAGAUAAAUCAUGAAGAUAACCUAUGUUGAAGACAAAUCAAUUUUGAAGAUAAUGCAAUAUGACGCCCAACAUAAAUCUACAAGAAAGAUGGGUGGUGACGGUGACACUACCCAUCGUAUAGGAAGUAUUAGACCCAGACACGGCGCACAAUUAUCGUGGCGCUCCGAAGUCAAAUUCUGCAUUAAUGUAUUCACACUUAGAGUGUAUGUCUUCAUGAUUUGAAGACAUUCGUUACUUUGUGUGUUGUGCACCUAAGUCAUCAACAUGUAUAAGCGUUAGGAUAUGUGUCCAGUCACAGGACAUUCGAGGAUACUAAGAUAUUUAGCUCACACCACAGCUUGCAAAACCUUUUCUCAUCCAAGGGCUUUGUGAAGAUAUCUUCUAAUUGCUCUUCAAUGUUGACGUGAAUGAUAUCAAUGUCUUCCUUCAACCCAUGGUCUCUGAGGAAGUGAUGAUGGAUCUGAAUGUGCUUUGUCUUCGAGUGCUGGACUGGAUUGUGAGCACUCUUGAUGGUGCUUUCGUUGUCGCAGUAGAGGGGCACUUUCUUCAUGUUGAUGCCAUAGUCCUUGAGAGUUUGCUUCAUCUAGAGAAGCUAAGCACUGAUACGUCCAUUUUGCAUCAUGCUUCUAUAUUGAUACUUAUUGCAUUAUGGGUUGCUAUUACACAUUAUGUCACAAUACUUAUGCCUAUUCUAUCUUAUUUUACAAGGUUUACAUAAAGAGGGAGAAUGCCGGCAGCUGGGAUUCAGGGUUGGAAAAGGAGCAAAUAUUAGAGACCUAUUCUGCACAGCUCCAAAAGUCCUGAAAUUUCACGGAGGCUAUUUCCAGAAUAUAUAAAAAGUACUGAGUGCAAGAAGUUCUAGAGGGGGGCCACACCCUGGCCACGAGGGUGGGGGCGCGCCCCCUGCCUCGUGGGCUCCCUGGUGGCCCUCCGAUGCCCAUCUUAUGCUAUAUCAAGUCUUUCGUCGAGGAAAAAAUCAUAAGAAAGCUUUCGGGAUGAGACUCCGCCGCCACGAGGCAGAACCUUGACGGAACCAAUCUAGGGCUCCAGCGGAGCUGUUCUGCCGGGGAAACUUCCCUCCGGGAGGGGGAAAUCAUCACCAUCGUCAUCACCAACGAUCCUCUCAUCGGGAGGGGGUCAAUCUCCAUCAACAUCUUCACCAGCACCAUCUCCUCUCAAACCCUAGUUCAUCUCUUGUAUCCAAACCUCAGAUUGGUACCUGUGGGUUGCUAGUAGUGUUGAUUACUCCUUGUAGUUGAUGCUAGUUGGUUUACUUGGUGGAAGAUCAUAUGUUCAGAUCCAUUAUGCAUAUUAAUACCCCUUUGAUUAUGAACAUGAAUAUGCUUUGUGAAUAGUUACGUUUGUUCCUGAGGACAUGGGAGAAGUCUUGCUAUUAGUAGUCAUGUGAAUUUGGUAUUCGUUCGAUAUUUUGAUGAGAUGUAUGUUGUCAUCCCUCUAGUGGUGUCAUGUGAACGUCGACUACAUGACACUUCACCAUUGUUUGGGCCUAGAGGGAGGCAUUGUGAAGUAAUAAGUAGAUGAUGGGUUGCUAGAGUGACAGAAGCUUAAACCCUAGUUUAUGUGUUGCUUCGUAAGGGGCUGAUUUGGAUCCAUAUGUUUCAUGCUAUGGUUAGGUUUACCUUAAUACUUCUGUUGUAGUUGCGGAUGCUUGCAAUAGGGGUUAAUCAUAAGUGGUAUGCUUGUCCUAGUAAGGACAGUACCCAAGCACCGGUCCACCCACAUAUCAGAUUAUCAAAGUAUCGAACGCGAAUCAUAUGAUCGUGAUGAAAACUAGCUUGACGAUAAUUCCCAUGUGUCCUCGGGAGCGCUUUACAUCAUAUAAGAGUUUGUCCAAGCUUGUCCUUUGCUACAAAAAGGAUUGAGCCAUCUUGAUGCACUUUAUGUACUUUUAUUACUUGCUACUCGUUACAAAUUACCUUAUCACAAAACUAUCUGUUACCGAUAAUUUCAGUGCUUGCAGAGAAUACCUUGUUAAAAACCGCUUAUCAUUUCCUUCUGCUCCUUGUUGGGUUCGACACUCUUACUUAUCGAAUGGACUACGAUAGAUCCCCUAUACUUGUGGGUCAUGAGACUCUUUUCUGGCACCGUUGCCGGGGAGUGAAGCGCCUUUGGUAGGUGGAAUUUGGUAAGGAAAAAAUUAUAUAGUGUGCUGAAAUUUAAUGUCACUUGUUACUAUGGAAAGUAAUCCUUUGAGGGGCUUGUUCGGGGUAUCUUCACCCCAACCGGUAGAGCAAAUAGUUGCUCCUCAACCUACUCAACCUACUAAAAAUGAAAAUGUUUACUUUGAAAUUCCUUCGGGUAUGAUAGAGAAACUGCUAGCUAAUCCUUUUGCAGGAGAUGGAACAUUGCAUCCCGACUUACACUUACUCUAUGUGGAUGAAGUUUGUGGAUUAAUUAAGCUUGCAGGUAUGCCCAAUGAUGUUAUCAAGAAGAAGGUCUUCCCUUUAUCUUUGAAGGGAUAUGCGUUGACAUGGUAUAGGCUAUGUGAUGAUACGGGAUCAUGGGACUACAAACGGUUGAAAUUGGAAUUCCAUCAGAAGGUUUAUCCUAUGCAUCUUGUUCAUCGUGAUCGUAAUUAUAUAUAUAAUUUUUGGCCUCGCGAAGGAGAAAGCAUCGCUCAAGCUUGGGGGAGGCUUAAGUCAAUGUUAUAUUCAUGCCCCAAUCAUGAGCUCUCAAGAGAAAUGAUUAUUCAAAAAAUGUAUGCCCGACUUUCUAACAACAAUCGCUCCAUGCUCGAUACUUCUUGUAUUGGUUCCUUUAUGAUGAAGACUAUUGAAUACAAAUGGAAUUUAUUGGAGAGAAUUAAAUGCAACUUUGAAGAUUGGGAUCUCGACGAAGGUAAGGAGUCAGGUAUAACACCUAAGUUUGAUUGUGCUAAAUCUUUUAUGGAUACCGAUGUUUUCCGUAAAUUUAGCACUAAAUAUGGACUUGACUCUGAGAUAGUAGCUUCUUUCUGUGAAUCCUUUGCUACUCAUGUUGAUCUCCCUAAGGAGAAGCAGUUUAAAUAUAAUCCUCCCAUUGAAGUAAAAGUAGUUGCACCUAUUAAAGUUGAAGAAAAGACUAUCACUUAUAAUGAUCCUAUUGUUCCUACUGCUUAUGUUGAGAAACCACCUUUCCGUGUUAGAAUAAAGAAUCAUGCUAAAGCUUCAACUGUGGUCAACAAAAGCAAUAUUAAGACACCUAAACCCCAUGAGAAAGUUAAAGUUGAAUCUAAUGUUGCUCUGGUUAAAGAUCUCUUGGCCGAUAAUAUUGAUGGGCAGGUUAUUUACUUCUGUGAUGAGACUGCUAGAAUUGCUAAACCUGGUGCUAAGGAUAAGCAUAGACCUGUGGUAGGCAUGCCUGUUAUUUCUGUUAAAAUAGGAGAACAUUGUUAUCAUGGCUUGUGUGAUAUGGGUGCUAGUACCAGUGCAAUACUUAUUUCCUUAUACAAAGAAAUUAUGCAUGAUAUUGCACUAGCUGAGAUAGAAGGUAUUGAUGUUACCAUUAAGCUUGCUAACAAAGAUACUAUUUCACCAAUUGGGAUUGUUAGAGAUGUUGAAGUCUAGUGUGGAAAGGCUAAAUAUCCUGCUGAUUUUCUUGUUCUUGGUUCCCCUCAAGAUAGCUUUUGUCCCAUUAUAUUUGGUAGACCCUUCUUGAAUACUGUCAAUGCUAAGAUAGACUGCAAUAAGAAUAUUGUUUCUGUUGGUUUAGGGGAUAUGUCUCAUUAGUUUAAUUUUGCUAAAUUUUGUAGACAACCCCAUGAUAAAGAAUUGCCUAGUAAAGAUGAAAUUAUUGGUCUUGCUUCUAUUGGCGUGCCUCCUACUGAUCCAUUAGAACAAUAUUUGCUAGGCCAUGAAAAUGAUAUGUUCAUGAAUGAAAGAAGGGAAAUAGAUGAAGUAUUCUUUAAACAGGGACCUAUUUUGAAACACAAUUUUCCUGUUGAAAUCCUAUGGAAUCCUCCUCCACCCAAGGGUGAUCCCGUGUUUGAGCUUGAACCAUUACCUGAUAUUCUUAAAUAUGCUUAUCUUGAUGAAAAGACAAUAUAUAUCUUGUUAUUAUUAGUGCUAACCUUUCAAAGAAGGAAGAAGAGAGAUUAUUGAAAACUCUGAAGAAGCACCGUACUGCUAUUGGAUAUACUCUUGAUGAUCUUAAGGGCAUUAGUCCCACUCUAUGUCAACACAAAAUAAAUUUGGAGGAAGACACCAAACCAGUUAUUGAUCAUCAACGACGGCUGAAUCCUAAGAUGAAAGAAGUGGUAAGAAAGGAAAUAUUAAAGCUCCUUGAGGCAGGUAUAAUUUAUCCCGUUGUUGAUAGUUAGUGGGUAAGUCUUGUCCAUUGUGUCCCUAAGAAGGGAGGUAUUACUGUUGUUCCUAAUGAUAAAGAUGAAUUGAUUCCGCAAAGAAUUAUUAUGGGUUAUAUGAUGGUAAUUGAUUUCUGCAAAUUAAAUAAGGCUACUAAAAAGAUCAUUACCCCUUACCUUUUAUUGAUCAAAUGCUAGAAAGAUUAUCCAAGCAUGCACAUUUUUGCUUUCUAGAUGGUUACUCUGGCUUCUCCCAAAUACUUGUGUCGGCUGAUGAUCAACCAAAGACCACUUUUACUUGCCCUUUCGGUACUUUUCUUAUAGACGUAUGCCUUUUGGUUUAUGUAAUGCAUCUGCUACCUUUCAAAGAUGCAUGAUGCCUAUAUUCUCUGACUUUUGUGAAAAGAUAUGUGAGGUUUUCAUGGAUGAUUUCUCCGUUUAUGGAUCCUCUUUUGAUGAUUGCUUAAGCAACCUUGAUCGAGUUUUGCAGAGAUGUGAAGAAACUAAUCUUGUCCUGAAUUGGGAGAAAUGCCACUUUAUGGCUAAUGAAGGUAUUGUCUUGGGGCAUAAAAAUUUUGAAAGAGGUAUUGAAGUUGAUAAAGCUAAAGUUGAUGCUAUUGAAAAGAUGUCGUGUCCCAAGGACAUUAAAGGUAUAAGAAGCUUCCUCGGUCACGCUGGUUUUUAUAGGAGGUUCAUUAAGGACUUCUCAAAAAUUUAUCGUCCUCUGACUAAUCUAUUACAAAAAGAUAUUCCUUUUGUCUUUGAUGAUGAUUGUGUAGAAGCAUUUGAAAUACUUAAGAAAGCAUUGAUUUCUGCACCUAUUGUUCAGCCACCUGAUUGGAAUUUACCCUUUGAAAUUAUGUGUGAUGCUAGUGAUUAUGUUGUAGGUGAUGUUCUAGGGAAAAGAGUUGAUAAGAAAUUAAAUGUUAUUCAAUAUGCUAGUAAAACUCUAGACAACGCCCAGAGAAAUUAUGCUACCACUGAAAGGGAAUUCUUAGCAAUUGUAUUUGCUUGUGAUAAGUUUAGACCUUAUAUUGUUGAUUCUAAAGUGACUAUUCACACUGAUCAUGCUGCUAUUAAAUACCUUAUGGAAAAGAAAGAUGCUAAACCUAGACUUAUUAGUUGGGUUCUCUUGCUACAAGAAUUUGAUUUGCAUAUUAUUGAUAGAAAGGGAGCUGAGAACCCCGUUGCAGACAACUUGUCUAGGUUAGAAAAUGUUCUUGAUGACCCACUACCUAUUGAUGAUAGCUUUCCUGAUGAACAAUUAAAUAUCAUAAAUGCUUCUUGAAUUGCUCCAUGGUAUACUGAUUAUGCUAAUUAUAUUGUUGUUAAAUUCAUACCACCUAGUUUCACACACCAGCAAAAGAAAAAGUGCUUCUAUGACUUGAGACAUUACUUUUGGGAUGACCCACAUCUUUAUAAAGAAGGAGUAGAUGGUGUUAUUAGACGUUGUGUACCUGAGCAUGAACACGAACAAAUCCUAUGCAAAUGUCACUCCGAGGCUUAUGGAGGACACCAUGUUGGAGAUAGAACUGCACAUAAGGUAUUGCAAUCCGGUUUUUAUUGGCCUACUCUCUUCAAGGAUGCCCGUAAGUUUGUCUUGUCUUGUGAUGAAUGUCAAAGAAUUGGUAAUAUUAGUAGACGUCAAGAAAUGCAUAUGAAUUAUUCACUUGUUAUUGAACCAUUUGAUGUUUGGGGCUUUGAUUAUAUGGGACAUUUUCCUUCCUCUAAUGGGUAUACACAUAUUUUAGUCGUUGUUGAUUACGUUACUAAGUGGGUAGAAGCUAUUCCAACUAGUAGUGCUGAUCAUAACACCUCUAUUAAGAUGCUUAAAGAAGUUAUUUUCCCGAGGUUUGGAGUCCCUAGAUAUUUAAUGACUGAUGGUGGUUCACAUUUUAUUCAUGGUGCCUUUCGUAAAAUGCUUGCUAAGUAUCACGUUAAUCAUGGAAUUGCAUCUCCUUAUCACCCACAGUCUAGCGGUCAAGUAGAAUUGAGUAACAGAGAGCUCAAAUUAAUUUUGCAAAAGACUGUUAAUAGAUCUACAAAGAAUUGGUCCAAGAAACUUGAUGAUGCAUUAUGGGCCUAUAGAACUGCAUACAAAAAUCCUAUGGGUAUGUCUCCGUAUAAAAUGGUUUAUGGUAAAGCAUGUCACUUACCUCUUGAACUAGAACAUAAGGCAUAUUGGGCCAUUAAAGAGGUCAACUAUGACUUCAAACUUGCCGGUGAGAAGAGGUUAUUUGACAUUAGCUCACUGGAUGAAUGGAGAACCCAGGCUUAUGAAAAUGCCAAGCUGUUUAAAGAAAAAGUUAAAAGAUGGCAUGAUAAAAGGAUACAAAAGCGUGAGUUUAAUGUAGGUGAUUAUGUAUUAUUAUACAACUCUCGUUGAAGAUUUUUUUGUAGGCAAACUUCUCUCUAAAUGGGAAGGUCCUUAUGUUAUCGAGGAGGUCUAUCGUUCCGGUGCCAUAAAAAUCAACAACUUUGAAGGCACAAAUCCGAGGGUGGUGAACGAUCAAAGAAUCAAACAUUAUAUCUCAGGUAAUCCUAUAAAUGUUGAAACUAAUAGUAUUGAAACCGUAACCCCGGAGGAAUACAUAAGGGACACUUUCCAGAACAUUUCAGACUCCGAAAAGGAAUAGGUAUGUGGUACGGUAAGUAAACCAACUCCAAAACAGUUCUAAUGGCAAUUUUUCUCCGUUUUGGAAUAUUUAGAAAAAUAGGAAAAUAAGAAGCAGACCGGAAAGGACACGAGGCUCCCACGAGGGUGGGAGGCGCGCCCUACCCCCUGGGCAUGCCCCACUUCCUUGUGGGCAGCUUGUGUGCUCUCCGGACUCUGUUUUCUUGCAAGAUACUUCUUUUGGUCGGUAAAAAUUCAUUAUAUAAUCUCCCGAAGGUUUUGACCAUCGUAUCACGCAAAUAUCUCUUAUCUUUGUUUCGAGUUGUUUUUUGUCAGGGUUGUCAAGGCCAGGCAUUAUGUCAUCUCCCUCCUCCAACAAUGGUGACAACGAUGCUUGGCCAAUGAAGAUAGAGCUGAAGAGGGAAGUACCUAUGGAGAUCAACAAGGAUGAAGGGAUCAAGAAGACCACGGAGGACUAAGUUCCGGUAGAAGAAGACAUCCUUCAACUUGAUCACAAUCUUCUUACCCCAACUGAGAUCGAGGCUUUCAAGAUGAUUGAGUUAGCCCGUAUACAAAAAAAGUAUCUCACACGUGAAAAUAUUUUGUUGAAGGAGCAUAUCAUCGCACUCAAGGGCAUUAUCUGCAAGUUGGAGGACCUCCUACGCUCGAUGUGCGACUAUCCAUCAUCAACAACUCCACCUUCUUCACCAACAAAGAAGAACUGAGUAUCUGGUAUGGGCACUCCCCUUGGCAACUGCCAAGCUUGGGGGAGUGCCCCGGUAUCGUAUCACCAUAACUUUUUACCUUUACUGUUUUUCUUAGUUCGAUCCUUUUAGUAAUAUCUUGAUCUAGUAGAAUAAAGUUUUAGUAUGAUCUAGUUGUGAGUUUUGCUUUAUGACCCCUCUAUGUAAUCGAGUCCAUGAGCUAUAUAUAAUAAAGAUUAGUGUUGAGUCAAGGGCUUGAUUAUUUUUCUAUGGUCUUGAGGGAAUUAAAUAAAAUAAAAAGAGAAAGAAUAAAAAGAAACAAAGAGAUCAUAUGGAUCUUAUGGAAAGUAAUGACCUCACAUAUAAAGAGUAUGAUGAAUAAAAGUUGUUGAGAGUUGACAAACAUAGUUUUGGUCAUCGUUGCAAUUAAUAGGAAGUAAUAAAGAAAGAGAGGUUCACAUAUAAAUAUACUAUCUUGGACAUCUUUUAUGAUGGUGAGCACUCAUUAAAGUAUGACAUGCUAAGAGUUGACGUUGGACAAGGAAGACAACGUGAUGGGUUAUGUUUUCUUACAUCUGAGAUAAAUUAUAUUGUCAUGGAUCAUCCAACAUGUUGAGCUUGAAUUUCCCUCUCAUGCUAGCCAAUUUCUUUGCACCAAGUAGAGAUACUACUUGUGCUUCCAAAUAACCCUAAACCCAGUUUUACUAUGAGAGUCCACCAUAUCUACCUAUGGAUUGAGUAAGAUCCUUCAAGUAAGUUGUCAUCGGUGCAAGCAAUAAAAAUUUCUCUCUAAAUAUGUAUGACUUAUUAGUGCGGAGAAAAUAAGCUUUAUACGAUCUUGUGAUAUGGAAGAAAUAAAAGCGACGGACUGCAUAAUAAAGUCCAUAUCACAAGUGGCAAUAUAAAGUGACGUUCUUUUGCAUUAAGAUUUCGUGCAUCCAACCAUAAAAGUGCAUGACAACCACUGAUUCCCUAUGUGAAGGGCCUAUAUUUUACUUUUAUCUUCUACCUUACAUAAGAGUCAUGGUGAUCUUCACCUUUCCUUUUUACAUUUUAUCCUUUGGCAAGCACAAUAUGUUGGAAAGAUCCUGAUAUAUAUAGCUAAUUGGAUGUGAGUCUUCAUGAACUAUUAUUGUUGACAUUACCCUUGAGGUAAAACAUUGGGAGGCAAAACUAUAAGCCCCUAUCUUUCUCUUGUCCGAUUAAAACUACAUACCCAUAAAUAUUGCGUGAGUGUUAGCAAUUGUAAAAUACUAAAAGAUGGUUGAGUAUGUGGACAUGCUGAAAAGCUCUUAUAUUGACUCUUUCCUAUGUUAUGAUAAAUUGCAAUUGCAUCAAUGACUGAGAUUAGAGUUUAUUGGUUCUCAAUGAAGUUUAUGAUUCAUACUUGAAAUUGUGAUUGAAUUGUUACUUUAGCAUAAGAUAUUAUAUGAUAAAAAUAUGUUGAUGUUCUAAGAAUGAUCAUGAUGCCCUCAUGUCCGUAUUUUUUUAUCGACACCUCUAUCUCUAAACAUGUGGACAUAUUUUUCAAUUUCGGCUUUCGCUUGAGGACAAGCGAGGUCUAAGCAUGGGGGAGUUGAUACGUCCAUUUUGCAUCAUGCUUUUAUAUUGAUAUUUAUUGCAUUAUGGGAUGUUAUUACACAUUAUGUCACAAUACUUAUGCCUAUUCUCUCUUAUUUUACAAGUUUUACAUAAAGAGGGAGAAUGUCGGCAGCUGGGAUUCAGGGCUAGAAAAGGAGCAAAUAUUAGAGACCUGUUCUGCACAGCUCCAAAAGUCCUGAAACUUCACGGAGGCUAUUUCCAGAAUAUAUAAAAAAUACUAAGCGCAAGAAGUUCCAGAGGGGGGCCACACCCUGGCCACGAGGGUGGGGGCGCCCCCCUGCCUCGUGGGCUCCCUGGUGGCCCUCUGAUGCCCAUCUUCUGCUAUAUCAAGUCUUUCGUCGAGGAAAAAAAUCAUAAGAAAUCUUUCGGGACGAGACUCCGCCGCCACGAGGCGGAACCUUGGUGGAACCAAUCUAGGGCUUCAGCGGAGCUGUUCUGCCGGGGAAACUUCCCUUCGGGAGGGGGAAAUCAUCACCAUCGUCAUCACCAACGAUCCUCUCAUCGGGAGGGGGGUCAAUAUCCAUCAACAUCUUCACCAGCACCAUCUCCUCUCAAACCCUAGUUCAUCUCUUGUAUCCAAUCUUUGUAUCCAAACCUCAGAUUGGUACCUGUGGGUUGCUAGUAGUGUUGAUUACUCCUUGUAGUUGAUGCUAGUUGGUUUACUUGGUGGAAGAUCAUAUGUUCAGAUCCAUUAUGCAUAUUAAUACCCCUCUGAUUAUGAACAUGAAUAUGCUUUUUGAGUAGUUACGUUUGUUCCUGAGGACAUGGGAGAAGUCUUGCUAUUAGUAGUCAUGUGAAUUUGGUAUUCGUUCGAUAUUUUGAUGAGAUGUAUGUUUUCAUCCCUCUAGUGGUGUCAUGUGAACGUCGACUACAUGACACUUCACCAUUGUUUGGGCCUAGAGGGAGGCAUUGGGAAGUAAUAAGUAGAUGAUGGGUUGCUAGAGUGACAGAAGCUUAAACCCUAGUUUAUGCGGUUCUUCGUAAGGGGCUGAUUUGGAUCCAUAUGUUUCAUGCUAUGGUUAGGUUUACCUUAAUACUUUUGUUGUAGUUGUGGAUGCUUGUAAUAGGGGUUAAUCAUAAGUGGGAUGCUUUUACAAGUAAGAUAGUACCCAAGCACCGGUCCACCCACAUAUCAGAUUAUCAAAGUACCGAACAUGAAUCAUAUGAUCGUGAUGAAAACUAGCUUGACGAUAAUUCCCAUGUGUCCUAGGGAGCGCUUUACAUCAUAUAAGAGUUUGUCCAGGCUUGUCCUUUGCUACAAAAAGGAUUGGGCCAUCUUGUUGUACCUUAUUUACUUUUAUUACUUGCUACUCGUUACAAAUUACCUUAUCACAAAACUAUCUGUUACCGAUAAUUUCAGUGCUUGCAAAGAAUACCUUGCUGAAAAUCGCUUAUCAUUUCCUUCUACUCCUCGUUGGGUUUGACACUCUUACUUAUCGAAAGGACUACGGUAGACCCCCUAUACUUGUGGGUCAUCAAGCACAACAAGAUCCAGCAGGAAUAUAUUCAGCUUCAGCAGCAGAGAGUGAUCUUUGAAGACGAACAGACAAGAGAUCGUCCAAGAAAAUGACAUGUGCCUGAUGUAGACUUGCGAUCAACCUUGUCACCAGCAUAAUCAGCAUCUGAGAAUCCAACUAGAUCAAACUCUGAGCCCUUUGGAUACCAUAAUCCUAGCAUUGGGGUGUGAGCCAAAUAUCGAUGUAUUCGCUUCACCGCGAGGUGAUGCCACUCUUUUGGUGCCACUUGGAAUCGGGCACACAUGGAAACGCUAAGCAUUAUAUCUGGCCUAGAUGCACAUAAGUACAAUAAAUAACCAAUCAUGGAGUGGUAUACCUUUUAUUCGAACUCUUUACCAUUUUCGUCAAAGCCCAAUUGACCUUUGGUUGGCAUUGGCAUCGUGUGCCCUUUGAAGUCUUGCAUUCCAAACUCCUUCAGGCAAUCUUUGAGGUAUUUUUCUUGUGAUAUGAAGAUGUCAUUCCUCUUUUGACGGAUUUGAAGGCCAAGGAAGAAUUUCAGCUCCCCCAUUAUAGACAUCUAAUAUUACUCUCGCAUCAUAGGCCCAAACCCAUCGCUAUAUCUUUUGUCAGUGCAGCCGAAGAUAAUGUCAUCCACAUAGAUUUGACAUACAAACAGUUCUCCAUCAUAUAUCUUCAUGAAGAGAGUGGGAUCUAGAGAACCAUGUUUCAAAGCCUUUGCUCUUCAGGGAGUCUUUGAGUGUGUCAUACCAAGCCCGAGGUGCUUGUUUGAGGCCAUACAAUGCCUUUUUGAGCUUGUAGACCAUAUCAGGAUACUUUGGAUCUUCAAAACCAGGUGGUUGAGCUACAUAUACUCCUUCUUCAAUUUUAUCGUUGAGGAAAGCGCUCUUCACAUCCAUUUGAUACAGAUGUUAUUGUGGUUAGCAUAGGCUAGCAGUAUGUGAAUGGCUUCAAGCCUAGCCACACGAGCAAAGGUUCCAUCGAAGUCAAUUCCCACUACUUGUGUGUAACCUUGAGCAAUAAGACGAGCUUUGUUUCUGACGACUUGACCAUGUUCAUCUUGUUUGUUGUGAUAGAUCCAUUUGGUGCCAAUAAUAUUGUGCUUGGCUCCCAGACAUUGUUGAGCUCAAAUUGUUGAAGCUCUUCCUGCAUAGUUUGAAUCCAUUCUGGUUCCAUGAAGGCUUCAUCAACUUUUUUGGAUUCAGAUAUGGAGACGAAUGCAAAGUUCCCACGGAAGUUUGCUAGUUGUGUAGCUCUUGAUUGUGACGCCCGGAUAAUUAAGCUAUAGUAACCCUCUGCUAAUGAUGCCACGUCACCUCGGUUACUGUUGCUAACCUUGCGUUAGUUCGAAAACAAUUCGAAUUCAAAUUCAAAAUCAAGCAAGCAACAAAAGUUUUUAAACGCUAAAACAAAAAUGUCCUAAAGGUGUCGGAAAAAUCAUAGGUAAUUGUGGUGGCGAAACCAAACUCUGAAGAAGUGUUUAAAGGCUCUAAAAUAAUUAUGACAGUAUCAAAAACAAUUAAUUACAUGCCUUUUUCAAUUAAAAAAAUACUAACCUAUUUUAUUGGGGUCCAUAGUUAAUGUGGCAGUAGUAUAUUUAGAUACACUAAAUUAGAAACUACUUUUAUCUUUUUAGAUUCGAAAAUAGAUUAAAGGCUAAAAGAAAACAUGAUAGGAGAAAUAAAUAGGCAGAAAAGAAAAUAAAAAAAAGGAAAGGAUAAAAAAAGAGAACACCCCCCCCUUGCUGGGCCAUGGCCCAGAUGGCCUCGGUGCCAACCAGGCCGGCCCAGCCGGCGCCUACAUCACCCAUGGGGCGACCGAACCCUAAACUCCCUCCCCAGUCGCCCCACUCCCCACUCCCCUCGCCCCCACACACCCCCACUCCCCGCUGGAUCUGGAUCGAGGCAAGCGUGCCCNNNNNNNNNNNNNNNNNNNNNNNNNNNNNNNNNNNNNNNNNNNNNNNNNNNNNNNNNNNNNNNNNNNNNNNNNNNNNNNNNNNNNNNNNNNNNNNNNNNNNNNNNNNNNNNNNNNNNNNNNNNNNNNNNNNNNNNNNNNNNNNNNNNNNNNNNNNNNNNNNNNNNNNNNNNNNNNNNNNNNNNNNNNNNNNNNNNNNNNNNNNNNNNNNNNNNNNNNNNNNNNNNNNNNNNNNNNNNNNNNNNNNNNNNNNNNNNNNNNNNNNNNNNNNNNNNNNNNNNNNNNNNNNNNNNNNNNNNNNNNNNNNNNNNNNNNNNNNNNNNNNNNNNNNNNNNNNNNNNNNNNNNNNNNNNNNNNNNNNNNNNNNNNNNNNNNNNNNNNNNNNNNNNNNNNNNNNNNNNNNNNNNNNNNNNNNNNNNNNNNNNNNNNNNNNNNNNNNNNNNNNNNNNNNNNNNNNNNNNNNNNNNNNNNNNNNNNNNNNNNNNCCCCGCGGCAACUCCGCCUGCACCUGCCGCCGAGCCCGCUACCGUUGCUGCUGCUCCAUCGCUGCCCCGCGCGCCCACGGCUCCGUGCCUUCCCUCGCACUUGCCGGCGGUUUCCGCUCCCCGCGCCCCACUCCGGUGCCGCUCGACGCUCCUCCCGUCCCUCCCGCGCCAGCCACUGGCGGCCGGCCUCGCCGCGGCCGCGGCCCCCCUCGUUGGUCGCCGCCCGGGUCCGCCCCUCGCCUGCUUUUGCGGCUUCACGCCGGCGUGCCGGCACCCGCGCCCAAUCGGGUGCACCCGCGAGGGCCAUCGCCCGUUCGGGCUGUGCCCGUAACCCGCACGCCCGCAAAGGCCCCUGGGGUCAAUGACAGGAGGGCCCCGCCUCCAAAACAUUUAAAAAAAAGGGAUAUAAAAAAAGAAUUUAAAAUAAUAAUAAUAAUAAUAAUUAAUUGGUUACUUAAUUAAAUAACUAAUUAGGACAAAUAAUUAACCUAAUUAACCUAUGUUAGUUAAUCUAAUUAACUAAUUAAUGUAGUUAAUUAGGUAGUUAGUUAGUAUGUCAAUGACAGUGGGACCCACAUGUUAGUUUGACUAGGUCAACUGACUAGCUGACUGAUGACAUCACCCUAACAUCAUGCUGAUGUUAUAAUUGCAUUUUCUAACUAAAUUAAUUCUGUUAAUUCUAAAAAUGAUUUAAAUCUUUUAAAAUUAAUAGAAAAUAAACCGUAGCUCAGAUGGAAAAACUUUGUACAUGAAAGUUGCUCAGAACGACGAGACGAACCCGGAUAGCCAGCCCGUUCGUCCGCCACACACCCUUAACAUAUCCAACUCGCAACUUUCCCCCUCCGGCUCCUCUGCCCGAAAACGUGAAACACCGGGGAUACUUUCCCGGAUGUUUCCCCCCUUCACCGGUAUCACCUCAUACCGCGUUAGGGCACCCCUAGCACCAUUACUGGUCUUGUCAUGCAUCGUUAUGCAUCUGUUUGCAUUGUAUUCAUUGUUUCUUCCCCCCUCUUCUUCCGCUAGACACCGAGACCGACGCCGCUGCUGCCCAGUACGCCUACUCUUCUCUAUACUGCUUGCAUUAGAGUAGUGUAGCAUGUUACUGCUUUCCGUUAUUCCUAUCCUGAUGCAUAGCCUGUCCUUGCUACUACUGUUGUUACCAUUACCUGCUAUCCUACUGCUUAGUAUAGGAUGCUAGUUUAUCAUCAGUGGCCCUACAUUCUUGUCCGUCUGCCAUGCUAUACUAUCGGGCUGUGAUCACUCGGGAGGUGAUCACGGGUAUAUACUAAAUACUUUACUCAUUUACAUUACUUAUGAUACUGUUCGGAGAUGGGGGCUAAGGGGAGGUGGCUCCAUCCCGGUAGAGGUGGGCCUGGGUUCCUGACGGCCCCCGACUGUUACUUUGAGGCGAAGCGACAGGGCAGGUUGAGACCACCUAGGAGAGAGGUGGGCCUGGCCCUAGUCGGCGUUCGCGGAUACAUAACACGCUUAACGAGAUCUUGGUAUUUGAUCUGAGUCUGGCCAUUGGCUUAUACGCACUAACCAUCUACGCGGGGACAGUUAUGGGCACUCGACGUCGUGGUAUCAGCCGAAACCUUCGUGACGUCAGCGACUGAGCGGCGCGCGCCAGAUUGGACCGUAAGCCUGCUCUUGUAUUAAGGGGGCUAGUUCUGCUUCCGGCCGCGUUCGCAACGUGCAGGUGUGCAAAGGGCGAUGGGCCCAGACCCCUGCGCCAUAGGAUUUAGACCGGCGUGCUGACCUCUCUGUUAUGCCUAGGUAGGGCUGUGACGUGUUGAUCUCCCGAGGCCGGGCAUGACCCAGGAAAGUGUGUCCGGCCAAAUGUGAUCGAGCGUGUUGGGUUAUGUGGUGCACCCCUGCAGGGAAGUUAAUCUAUUCGAAUAGCCGUGAUCUUCGGUAACAGGACGACUUGGAGUUGUACCUUGACCUUAUGACAACUAGAACCGGAUACUUAAUAAAACACACCCUUCCAAGUGCCAGAUACAACCGGUGAUCGCUCUCUCACAGGGCGACGAGGGGAGGAUCAUCGGUUAGGAUUAUGCUAUACGAUGCUACUUGGAGGUCUUCAGUCUACUCUCUUCUACAUGCUGCAAGACGGAGGCUGCCAGAAGCGUAAACUUCGACAGGAUUAGUUAUCCCCCUCUUAUUCUGGCAUUCUACAGUUCAGUCCACUGAUAUGGCCCUUUACACAUAUACCCAUGCAUAUGUAGUGUAGCUCCUUGCUUGCGAGUACUUUGGAUGAGUACUCAUGGUUGCUUUCUCCCUCUUUUCCCCUAUCCCUUCUACCUGGUUGUGUCAACCAGAUGUUGAAGCCUAGGAGCCAGACGCCACCUUCGACGACGACUCCUACUACACCGGAGGUGCCUACUACUACGUGCUACCCGCUGACGACGACCAUGAGUAGUUUAGGAGGAUCCCAGGCAGGAGGCCUGCGCCUCUUUCGAUCUGUAUCCCAGUUUGUGCUAGCCUUCUUAAGGCAAACUUGUUUAACUUAUGUCUGUACUCAGAUAUUGUUGCUUUCGCUGACUCGUCUAUGAUCGAGCUCUUGUAUUCGAGCCCUCGAGGCCCCUGGCUUGUAAUAUGAUGCUUGUAUGACUUAUUUUAUUUGUAGAGUUGUGUUGUGAUAUCUACCCGUGAGUCCUUGAUCUUGAUCGUACACAUUUGCGUGCAUGAUUAGUGUAUGGUCAAAUCGGGGGCGUCACAAGUUGGUAUCAGAGCCGACUGCCUGUAGGAAUCCCCUUUCCAACUCCUUGGCCGAAUUUGAGUCUAGUCAUUGCAAAACCUUUACUAACAUGGCUGUGUGGCCUAUGGGCCCACGUCGCCAUUGGGUGGUAUUAGGAUCUCUUAUUUCUCGUCUAUGCUCUGGUACUCUGAACUCUCUCCUAUUCGGGUUUAAUGAAUUUACUAAAAAUCUAACUUAGGUUCUCGAAAAUAUUUUCUCCCGGAGAACCCCCUUCAAUCCAGGUGAUCGCCGGCUGCACUAGAAGAUUUCGAAGAUACUCUCCGAUAUUCUGUCGAGACCUUGUGCCUGUUGCUUUUGCAAUUCCCUUCUAUCGAUAAACCUCUAUGGAUAACCACGUACAUGUGCCAUUCAUAUAAUCAUUCCUCAUUGAUCUUGUUAUUACAAGAUGCCCCAAAAUUCUCACUAUUGUUCCGAGAAUACUUUGUGCCUACUGCCUUGCAUUUAUUUGCCACAUGAAUACCACUAUGGGUAAUUUCUAGCACUCAUCGGAUAUUUUCUCAUCACCAGUUGGUUCAUGUAUUUCACAAAAGUCUUCAAAAUACUAUUUGAACUUCCGAAAAUCUUGAGUAGCCUAUUAUCUCUUGAAGUUCUUACUUGCUUGCGUUAUGGUUAAUCCCAUAAGUCUAUAAUUUUAUUGGCAUCCCUUAUCAUUAUCAUUUUGAGUCUGUUGAUUCAAAAUGUUGUGAAUGCUCGCCAUCCUCAAUCAGAUCCAAUGAUUCAUCCUUCCGGCUCGCACGUCAUUUUGAACAUGAGCUGGUUAUCGACCAAUCAAAUUGUCGUUGAUUGUACCCCUAAGUCUAUUCAACUGAUCCAUUCUUAAUGAGAGCGUUGGCUUUUGAUCCCUUGAUUUGGAAAUGAUAAUUCCUUUGUAUUUAAGAUUUGAAAUACUCAGUUGUUUAUAUAAUCUGAUGCCCUUUCAUUCCAUCUUCCUCAGAUAGAGUACCGAUACUCGCAUCAGCUCCAUUGUAGACCAUAGGACCCCUUGUUGGAUUAUUAUCCGGCAGUGUCCUUCCUAUUCAAUAACCUUGUGAGCCUUUCCAUGGGUAUAUGAUACCUUUGGUAAAUUGUAUCAUCUGUUUUGCUAACCAUGCUCUACUUUCGAGCUUGUGAUAUUUACUCUUGAAACUUGUUGUAUAUGUUUCUAUGAAACCCCGAUGGCUUGAACCUAUACAACCUUCUCUAAAACCGUGUGAACUCGAAAGUUUUCACGAGUCAUACACUUCUGGUAUUUUGCUAGAUGAAAUUUCAACAAUACAACUUCUUCAAAAGUGAGAAGUGAAUGAAAGGUUAUGCAUUGGAGAAGUGGGAGUCGACCUUGAACUUUGUGUUCAUGCCCAUGGACACGAUGUAGAUCCUAUCAUAGAAGUUUCUUGCAAUAUUAACUAUUUCCUUGAUAUGACAUCAUCUGGUAUCUAUGUAUUGGUCAUUUGCAAUCAUGAUCCUGACCACAUUUUCUCCUUGAUUCCAUUUCUCAGACAAGUUAAAGCACUUGUCUUUUGUUGAUCGAUACAUCUUUGCAACCUCUAUUUUUGAUCUUCCUCGAGUAUUAACCUCUGGUAUCUCGAGUAUUGUGUUACUUCCUACGAGUCUUCAUCUAGUAUUGUUUCUCACCGAUCUCGGAUCUCCCCAGGUUCUGAGUUAUUAGUCACUCGAGAACACCGAUAAGUGAAUCGAUUCCGCACUCUGAUUCAAUAACUCUAAGUAAUUAUUGUUGCUUACGAGUUUAAUAAUCCUUCAAGUCAUUCCUAGCCUGAGCGGCUAUAUCAUUAUCGUGCUAAAUUUUAACUGUGCUACCUGGUCCUUAAUCCCGGAGCAAAACUUUCGAUGAUGAGCUAAGCUUACGUCGAUCUUCCUCGUCAUAUCAGUUCACCUUGAACAACAAGCUUGAUUUAAAGUUUGUGUCCUACCCAUGGUUCCAAUGACCUUCCGCUUCAUCAUUUCUUUGACUCGAUGUCGUUGCUGAUUGUUUACAUCUUGAAAUCUCUCGAAAAAUGUGUCGUGAACAUCAUCAACCUUAUGAGGUCUUCCAAGAUAUCUAUCGAAUUCUUGAUGAGAAAUAGCGGCAGAAAUCACAGAUUUGACCUGAGGCGGAAAUCAAAUCACAAACUGACCUGUUCAGGAAACAAUUUCACUCUGCUGUCCCUUUGGUGUGGCGCCCGACAUCUAGGCGCCGCACCCUACUGUGCAGCGCCUUCCCCUUAGGCGUCGCACAUCCUGCCAGUGUGGCAGCCCUGGUCCAGUUGCGGCCCCACACGCACCUGUGCAGCGCCUAAGAGCUAGGCGCCACACUUUGACGUGCAGCGCCUAGCCCUUGGGCGCUGCACAGUGACUUAAGCGCGGCCGCCCAGCCCGACCAGGCAGUUCUUCAUCUCUCCUCUCUCUGUACAGAGAGCAGCGGCGGCGGCGGCGCCCCCAUCUAAUCCCCCCACAUCCCUCUCAGAUCUGAAGAUUUGAUCCGUGGAUUCGAUCCCCAAUCCAUCCUACUAGGUAAACUCUUCCCUUCUCUUUCUUUUGCUCCGUAAAUUUGUUGCCAUUCUAGAGAUUUGUCCAUGAUUUGAUGGAACCCUUGAUUUGUUUGGUUUGCUCGAUUUAGGAUGUGUAUUCAUAUUGGUAGUACUGUAGUGUUAUUUAUUAGUUCACAAUAUAUGAUUCUUAUUGUUGAAACCCUAGAUUGUUUAGUUUUUUUAGAUAUAUAUGAGAUGCCUAUUUUUGUUUAGUUUAUUUGAGAUGAAGAUGAACUUUUAUAUGUUUAUUGUUUGAAAUUGUAAGGAUGGUUUGGCUUCUGGACGAUGUCUACGACGUGCAACACCGGGCCUACAUGAUGCGCGAGAAGGAUAAGGUAAUAAUGAGUAAUCUAAAUAUUUUGCAAAUUUGCCUUUAGUUGAAAUUUACAUGCCCUAAGAUUUGUCAUUACUUGUUUUUUGCAGAAGCUUGAACCUCUGAAGAUUCGGUAUCACGGGGUCUCUGGUCCUGCCAUGCCUUACGAUGAGCGGUACACACCGUACAUCAAGCAGGCAGGACUACUCCCGUGGAUUCUGUUGGUCAGCCGGUCCACGCCGAAUCUGAAUGCUCCACUGGUGUCCGCUCUUGUUGAUCGGUGGAGGCCAGAGACCCACAGUUUCCAUCUUCGGACCGAGGAGAUGACCAUGACGCUCGAGGAUGUCUCGUUGAUCACCGGUCUUGCUAUCGACGGGAGGCCUCUAUGUAUGAGCACCAAUUCUGAUGGGUGGCGCGAGCAGAUGAUUGCUCUUAUCGGUAUGGCUCCUACCGAGGCUGAGGAUGAUGUAGAGGAGGGAGAAGAGAAGAAGAAGAGGGAAAGGAAGGCAGCCAGAGCUGCUUUCACGUGGAUUCAAAAUAACUUUGCGACGUGCCCUCCGGAUGCAAUUGAUGAUGUGAUCCAGACACAUGCUCGUGUGUAUAUGUGGUACAUUGUGUCGAGGACUUUGUUUCCUGACUCCACUGGCAAGAACGCUCCAUGGAUGUGGCUGAAGGCGUUGACCGUCUUCGAUAGCAAAUGGAGCUGGGGUUCAGCGACUCUUGCCUACUUGUACCGACAGGUAGUUGGUCUGUUUUGUGAUCAACUCAUUUAUUCAUUAGCAAUGCAAGCUUGCUGUCAAGUUAACAUUGUUUUUCUUUCAUAUGUAGCUGGAUGAUGCGUGUUGCAGGAACACACCUAGUGCAGGCAUUGGUGGUAAUCUGCUUCUACUUUCUGUAUGGAGCUGGGAGCGUCUGCCUGUUGGACGCCCGAAGAGCGUCAGGUUUGAUCCUUGGUAUGCAGAUGAACAUGACGAAUUACAGCGCCCCACGUGGGCUUACAAGUGGAAUACCGUUUCCGAGAUGACGAACGAUGUCAAUCUCAUGUACCAAAAGUACAUUGCCGAGUUGGACACGAUUACGCCUGAGCAGGUAAGGAGGUCAUUACUUUAGUCCUUUCUCAUGCUUGCUUGAAAAAUAGUUAUCAAAUUUGCAUUGUUGCCCUGUUUCAUAGGUGGAAUGGCAGCCAUAUGGCGCGGGUGAGAGUUUGAGGUACACCGCGGACUUCCGCCUCAACCCGAUGUGCUUGCGGGAUAAGGAUCUCUGGCUUAUGCGGUGCCCACUGAUAUGCAACUGGGCGGUUGAGUUUCAUUUGCCGCAUCGCGUGUAUCGUCAGUUUGGUCUUUUCCAGCCUCACCCGCCGGAUUGGGUGGACACGGGUAAAGCACUUCAUAGGUAAGAGAGCAUGUGUGCGUAUUGUCUAAUCAUCGUGACUCCUUUUGAUUGUGCUAAUGUUUAGUUUUAUACCACGCAGGUUGGAUAGGAGAAGGCAACGGAAGAUAAAGGACUGGGCCAAGCAUCAUUCUGCGUAUGUUACCCGCUUCCAGCUUUGUGUGGAGCAAGCUCGUAGCACUGCACGCGCCCCGCUUCGUGAGCACAACUCACUUGAUUUUGAUAACUACGUACGAUGGUUUAUUGGAACUACUCGAGUUGAGAUAUGCCCGCCGGCAUAUAAUGAGGAUAUUCUUGAAGAACCCGUAAACUUUGAGGAUCUAGCAAAGGGGAAGUACAACAGAGAUGUCAGGCUAGGGCAAGGAGUCCCUGCUGUUCCGGUGAUUAACUAUGUGGUAAAGUGUUCCCCUCUUUACUUUCCUGUUGACCAUAUUACACAUGUUUGAAUGGCUAACGCAUUCAUUUUUUCUCAUCCGCAGCGCACCGAGAUCAAGAAAGCAGCUGAUGAGAGCCAGUCUAUUCUGGAGAAGACACCGGUUGGAACUGGCAAUGAUGAUGGUUCACUACGAGCAUUCCUCAAGGUACAUAUCGCAUUCACUAUGAGAGCCAGUCUAUGUUGCGAAGUUUGAUAUCUUACACACUUGUUCGUGUUACAGCGUCAGGCCAAGAAGUUAAGGCGGUUAUCGAACCUUCUCGGUUGCCGUGAUCCUGAAUAUGAUGAACCAUCUGCCUCUAGGUCUGGUACACCAUCAGACCCCGCACCUCACCAUGAGGGGGACGAUGUGAGUUCCUCAUAUGCUUAUAUGGAUGAUGAGGGUGGGAUCACCCAAGAGGUAUGACUAAUCCUUUAGAUGUGAUUCUCACUUGAUUACGAUAUCGGCCUUCACCAUAUUGUUUCGUUGUGUGAUAGGGCAAUGAGCUUGAUGAUGACAUGACUUUGGCGGACGCUCAAGCUCGGUCCGCAUAUGUGUUCAAGCCUAGGCAGCCCAGACGCCGGUACACGCCCAACGACUAUGACAACAGAGGCAACCCAAAGGUGGUCGUAGGGACCUCGCGGAUGGCUAGCUUGGAUGAUGAGGCGGAGGAGGAGGCGGAGGCGGAGGCGGAGGCGGAGGCAGAGGCGGAGCAGGGAGUGCACGAAGAGGAUCCUCGUGCUCCUAAGAAGAAGAAGCUUGCCUGCAGGCGUGCCACCAGGAACACGCGCGGAAGGCAUUAGUGCUUGUUCAUGUUAAUUAUAGCCGUUUAAUUAGGUUGACGAACUUGUGAGGUUAUGUUAUAUGUUGGUGAAAUCUUACUAGUGUGGUAUUUGUGUUUGCGAACCUAAAGUAAUGUUGAAUUGUCUUAAAUGAUAUGAUGUUCAAGUUAUUAGUUUCUGCAGUUUACAGUAUUUUUAUUAUGUUAUAUGUUGGUGAACUCUUACUAGUGCAGUUUACAGUAUUUUUAUUAUGUGAGUGCUGCUGCAGGAGGCCAAAAUGGCAUCUGUUUUUGCAGUUUUGCUUAUAGCAGCACUGCAGCGCCCAACAUAUAGGCGCUGCACUGUACUGUGUGGCGCCCAACAAUUGGGCGUUGCACUGUAUAGUGCAGCGCCCUGUCCUUAGGCGCUGCACUACUUCCAACAUCUCACAUCCAGAGAGCCACAGUUGGCUUGCAUCACAUCCACAAUACUUACAAUGACUGCAGCAUCACAACAAUUUGAACAAACAUAAAUUUUAAGCCGACGAGUUCAUAACUUAAGACAAUUCAAACAUUACUACGACAUGGUUCACGACACAUUCAUUACAAAUGACAAAUGGCAGCUUGCCCUAGAAGAUAGUUCACCAACAUCUCACAUGCCCUCACAACUUCAUGACACAUUCAUUAGAAAAUGGUUGACGACGAGUGCACCGAAGCGAAGUCCCUACUGAGUAGAGCGAGGCCAUUUCCCCUUCUUGUCACGUGCCGAGUCCUCCUCUUGCGCCUCGCGAGCCUUUGCAAGCUUUCUUGCCCUCUCCUCCUCACGAGCAAGUUUCGCUUGGCGUGCCCUCUCCUCCUCUCGUUUCUUCCGCUCCAUCCUCUCCUUCUGACGACGCUCUUCCUCCAAGCCUCUUCGAAACGAUUCUUCAAACCGUCGUUGCCGCCUAAGACAAUCUGCGUAUUGGUCCUUUUUCACAUCUUCUGGCACUUCAAGAUCUAUCCACGUGAAGUACUUGCAUAGAGGAGGCGGUGACUGCAUAAAAAUUUGUUGUUAGUGUUGACACACAUUUGAGAGUAACAUUAUACUUCUCGAGCUUACCGGUGGUUGGUCAUAGGCGUUAGUUGGAAGUGCACGAUCAUAAGCAUAGUUCGAGCAUACAAAAUAUCUCCGCCCUUCCGUCCAUGCUUUCUUUCGGUCGGUGGACACCUUCACCUUGCAAACAUCUCCACACCAACAAGGCGGGAUGUUGACAUCUUUCUCCUUCACCUUGUCCAAAGAUGCGUCCUCCCACUUGUUCGGCAUGUCUUCUUGGUUAGCACACGGUGGCCUCGUCAUGGAACCGGAUGAAGCCAUGCCUACAAAACCGAGAAUUAUUGGUCAACCCUAACCCCCACUUAACAAUAACCACAACCCUAACACCAACAUAACCCUAACCCUAGCAUACUAUGAAAACCUAACCAUACCAAAUUAGCAAAGAAACACAAAUUUCCAAAUCCUAUCAAAAACUAGGGUUUCCCCCAAACUAGCAAGAUUUGAGCAAAUGUGACAAUUCCUAUGGAUGAAAACGAGGGGAUCGGAGAAGAUUACCUUAAGGGAGGGGUUGGCUUCGAAAUCCACGGUCAAAUACUCCGGAUCUUGAAUGCGGCUUGCUUCGCCUUCCAUGCCUUGCCGUACUUCACCUUGUAAUGAAAGAUGGCUUUCACAAGGUCAAUGACACUCUUGAUGCUCAUUGUUGGAAGUGUGGAUAUUUGGUUGGACAGCCUGUAAGCAAUGAACUCGGACGUGAGUUGUCUGUGUUGUUGGUACACAAGCUUGCCAUCCGCAUUCUUGUGCCGGCACAUGUGAGUUGGUAGACAACUCACUAUGCGCCAAGUGGGGCCUCCUUUCCAUGGCCUUGCACGCACAAUCCAUGGACAUGUUGGCACUUCACAUUUGACCGUGUAACGCACAUUCACGUCCGAGUUGGCCACUUUAUGUGGACGAUAAUGUGUAACCGAGUAGUUGUCGAGCCACAUCUUCAAUUCCAAGAAGGAUUGAAACUCACAACCGGGAUAUAUCCCGUUCUUGCCGUCUUCCAAAUCACGGUGAGAACUUGGCCUAGCUCCAAGAGAUAUGCAUUUUCCACCAUCCACAAUGGCUUCAUCCGCGAGACUAAGAUCCUUGAACAAUGGUGUCUAGUGAUCCCGCCUGAAUACCUUCUUGAAUGCUUCGGCCUCCUUCGGUGUGAACCCCUCCUCAUCAACUUCUUCAUCAGGACCAUCGUCAUCCGAGUCCGAUGCAUAUGCACGGGAAAAAGGGAUGGAUUGGUCCAUUGUCUCUUGCACAUGAUAUUGGUCGAGAUCACCCACAUUGUUGUCAUGGAGGUCAACUUCGUUGUCAUCCUCCUCGUACUCAUCAUUCUCCUCUUCAAAACCUUCAUUUUGGUUGUUUGGAGUCGGGCUCAAUGUUGGCCAAUCUUCUUGCCUGAAUUGAGGUUCACUCAUUUGAUCUUGGUUCAUGGGUGGGGGAGUGCUAGCAACCAACGGGGAGGGGUUCCGGUUCAAGUCUAAAUUCAAAGUAGACUCAACCUUCUUGGAGGCAAAUAACUCAAGAGCCUUGUCUAGAGAUUCCGCAACUGUCUCCUUGUAUGCAACCCAACGUUGCUCGGAGUUCACACGCAUUGUCUUCCAACGGAUGUGCAUUCCUAAACCAACAUUAUGCCUUCCCUCGAACUCAACAACGUCACUUGGGUCCAUCCAAUUCAAAUCUUUCCUCACUUGUUUCAAAAGCUCCGCAUAGCUAGGACUACUCUCAAACACCAUGUCAAGCUCAUCCGGGUCCGUCUCAACAUUGCCUUUCAAAAAGGCCUCUUUAUCCACAUGAUGAACAUAAACACAUGUUCUCCCCAUCCCUACAAUAAUCAAAAACAGACAUAUAUCAAGUAAAUACUUAAGAAAAAUAUUUGCACACAUAUGCCCUAACAUAUAUAUGAAUUAAUAACCCUAACCCCCACAUAACAAUAACCACAACCCUAACACCAACAUAACCCUAACACCAAUAUCAAACACACAUAACCCUAACCCUAGCAUACUAUGGAAGCCUAAACAACCCAAAUUAGCAAAGAAAUAUAACAUCAUUCAACACAAAUUUCCAAAUCCUAUCAAAAUCUAGGGUUUCCCCAAACUAGCAAGAUUUGAGCAAAUGUGACAAUUCCUAUGGAUGAAAACGAGGGGAUCGGAGGAGAUUACCUUAAGGGAGGGGUUGGCUUCAAAAUCCACGGUGUGUGGCGGAUUUGCAAGAUUUGAGAAGGAUUUGAGAGGGGGGAGAGGGGAAGAGAGGAGGGCCGCAAGUCUAAGGGUUUGGGUCGGGUGGGGGUGUGUGGGGUGGGGGUGGGAGGGGAGAGAGGGUGGGGCCAGCCCAAGUUGAACACAGACUGUGCAGCGCCCAAGAGCUAGGCGCUGCACAUUACAGGUGUGUGGCGCCUAGAUCUUAGGCAUUGCACAGGUGCGUGUGGGGCCGCAACUGGACCAGGGCUGCCACGCUGGCAGGAUGUGCGACGCCUAAGGGAAGGGCGCUGCACAGUAGGGUGCGGCGCCCGGCUGUCGGGUGCCACACCAAAGGGUCAGCAGAGUGAAAUUUUUUCGUGACCAGGUCAGUUUGUGAUUUGAUUUCUGCCUGAGGUCAGAUAUGUGAUUUCUGCCAGAAAUAGCAUCCUUUGCCCUCGAUGAUUUGGGUUAUCAUCGGCAACAUUCUUUCUUUCCCUUCAACACAAACUUGUUCCUGUUUUGUGUUGUACCUUGAGAUCCUUGCUAUCCAACUUAUGUUAUGUUCUACCUUGGAGUAUUGCUAUCUUUUAGGUCAAGAAUGUCAUGGGAAAUUCACCACCCUUAAGAAUUCUUGAUACAAGUGAUACUUAUUAACAUCACCAUUCUUUUCUUGGUCCCCGUGUUGUUUCUAACCGAAAUACCAACAAAUGGUCUGUGAUGUGUAAAUUCUAAACUUCUAGCAACCCUAUUGCUUUGAAGUUAUUGGUCUGUAGUUUCAUUCUAUGUCUAUGGCUUAUUGAAUCAUCGUUCGAACAUUGAUCGUGCUACCCAGCCCAUAUUUCGGGUACACAUUUCAACCAAUGUUUAACUGUGUAUGUUUUCCUCGAGCAUACAUCAUUAAGUCAUUUGAUCUAGCUAAUGUUACCUCCCUGUUCACAUAAUUGUGGAGAUCCAUCUUUUGGAAAUCUCAAUGAAUUGUCGCUGAUUUCAUUAGCCACCCCUUCAUCCUCUCCUUGAUUAAAUGGUGAACUCAUGAUUCGGGACUUGCCUUCAUAGUUCAUUUCACGAGAAUCUUGCAACGCCAUCCCGUCCAUGUGUUGCACCUCUUUUUCUCAUCCCGGGUCUGAGGUAUCCUGACACCAAUCAGAUCUGAAUCUCGGUCAGAUAUGAUGGUUGGAACAUAUUUCCAAGAGUUAUAACGUUGGUCUUUGUAUGACCCGAUAAGGUGGUGUCAUACCUAGCCCACCUGGCCGGAGGCCCUAUUGUUAUAGUUCUUCCUUUUAGCAAUAUUGGCCAUUCUUCCAUGAGGAAAUUGUAAGACUUAUUCUAUAAGUUGUUCCUGAUGGAUCCUAGUUGUUUCCAAAGUCUGAUCUUCACCUGUUGACCAUGUCAAUGCUAUCUCGAGGCAUGUCUAUGGUACUCUGAUUUUCAACAGGAACAUUUGAAGCCCAAUGCUAAAUGUUUCCUGCUCAAUUAUCCAAACACCGUUGUAUGGGUAAUGGCAUGAAAAUUCUCUCCCGUGCCUAAAGAGUGUUCUACUUUCUAUCCUGUCAUGGAUAUCAUGCUCUGCUUGUCCUUGGGAGGAUAUACCCUUGAAAUAUGUGUUCCAUUGUCCUAUUUAGAUCUGAUAAUCGUAUUUUCCUUUCCAUUGUUUGGUUUAACCCUUUCUUGUGAUCUUUAUGAUCCAAGCAGAAAUAUUCUCCUGCUUAUGUAAACACCUCGGUGUACAUUUCUGUCAGCAAGACCCUGUUACUAUUGUUGAUGACAUUCUGGUAACCACCGAUGGAUGAGAACUUUGCCUAUUGGUCCGCCUCGUUCAACGAGCAGGAAAAAUGGUUCUCUUCGUCCCUCGCUCUUGGUACCGAUGUUGUUGUCGACAUAACCGACAGACUAACCUCUGACAUGCCUUGCCUACAUGACCAUGCAAGAUGUCAACGCCCUUCCUAGUUUUAACCCACAUGGUGGGCCCAUAACCCACAGUUCCACAGGAUCGAAACCUGACUCUCCUAUACACCCUGUUGUCGAAGUUAAUCCUCGCGCUUGGCUUCGUAUUUAAUUCACGGGCCACCUUCCUAGUGCUCUAUUCUGGUAUCAGACGCAAUACUUACUCUCGCUGCUCUGAAACCCUUUCUCACUCUGGUUCAGACUUCGAGCAACUAUCUAUCCACUUGGAACCUCUUAUAGUACCUUCGUACCUUACUCUUGAUGUAUUCGAUAUGUUCAGCUCGAGAGAUAAUCUUACGCUCAUUCAUGGGUUAACCCCCAGAUUGUUUCCCUCAUAAGCAUUCUGUCGUAGCCGAGCUGCCCCUUACCUAUUCGUAAGUACGUUGGAGUUCCCGAGAAAAGGACGACAUCACCAUGAUGACCUGAAGCAGAGAAAUGAAGAUGUCAAUGUAAUGGAUCGACCUCUUCAAGAAGAGCAACCAAGACUGAGAAGAUUCGUUAGCAUUUCGUAACCAGACCUUUCCCCCUUAGUCCCCCUCUUAAAUCUCGGGACGAGAUUUCUUGUAGUGGAGGAGAAUUGUGACGCCAGGAUAAUUAAGCUACAGUAACCCUCUGCUAAUAAUGCCACGUCACCUCGGUUACUGUUGCUAACCUUGCGUUAGUUCAAAAACGAUUCGAAUUCAAAUUCAAAUUCAAGCAAGCAACAAAAGUUUUGAAACGCUAAAACAAAAAUGUCCUAAAGGUGUCGGAAAAAUCAUAGGUAAUUGUGGUGGUGAAACCAAACUCUGAAGAAGUGUUUAAAGGCUCUAAAAUAAUUAUGACAGUAUCAAAAACAAUUAAUUACAUGCCUUUUUCAAUUAACAAAAUAGUAACCUAUUUUAUUGGGGUCCAUAGUUAAUGUGGCAGUAGUAUAUUUAGAUACACUAAAUUAGAAACUACUUUUACCUUUUUAGAUUCGAAAAUAGAUUAAAGGCUAAAAGAAAACAUGAUAGGAGAAAUAAAUAAGCAGAAAAGAAAAUAAAGAAAAAAGGAAAGGAUAAAAAAAAGAGAACACCCCCCCUUGCUGGGCCAUGGCCCAGAUGGCCUCGGUGCCAACCAGGCCGGCCCAGCCGGCGCCUACAUCACCCAUGGGGCGACCGAACCCUAAACUCCCUCCCCAGUCGCCCCACUCCCCACUCCCCUCGCCCCCACACACCCCCACUCCCCGCUGGAUCUGGNNNNNNNNNNNNNNNNNNNNNNNNNNNNNNNNNNNNNNNNNNNNNNNNNNNNNNNNNNNNNNNNNNNNNNNNNNNNNNNNNNNNNNNNNNNNNNNNNNNNNNNNNNNNNNNNNNNNNNNNNNNNNNNNNNNNNNNNNNNNNNNNNNNNNNNNNNNNNNNNNNNNNNNNNNNNNNNNNNNNNNNNNNNNNNNNNNNNNNNNNNNNNNNNNNNNNNNNNNNNNNNNNNNNNNNNNNNNNNNNNNNNNNNNNNNNNNNNNNNNNNNNNNNNNNNNNNNNNNNNNNNNNNNNNNNNNNNNNNNNNNNNNNNNNNNNNNNNNNNNNNNNNNNNNNNNNNNNNNNNNNNNNNNNNNNNNNNNNNNNNNNNNNNNNNNNNNNNNNNNNNNNNNNNNNNNNNNNNNNNNNNNNNNNNNNNNNNNNNNNNNNNNNNNNNNNNNNNNNNNNNNNNNNNNNNNNNNNNNNNNNNNNNNNNNNNNNNNNNNNNNNNNNNNNNNNNNNNNNNNNNNNNNNNNNNNNNNNNNNNNNNNNNNNNNNNNNNNNNNNNNNNNNNNNNNNNNNNNNNNNNNNNNNNNNNNNNNNNNNNNNNNNNNNNNNNNNNNNNNNNNNNNNNNNNNNNNNNNNNNNNNNNNNNNNNNNNNNNNNNNNNNNGCCGCCCGGGUCCGCCCCUUGCCUGCUUUUGCGGCUUCACGCCGGCGUGCCGGCACCCGCGCCCAGUCGGGUGCACCCGCGAGGGCCAUCGCCCGUUCGGGCUGUGCCCGUAACCCGCACGCCCGCAAAGGCCCCUGGGGUCAAUGACAGGAGGGCCCCGCCUCCAAAACGUUUAAAAAAAAGGAUAUAAAAAAAGAAUUUAAAAUAAUAAUAAUAAUAAUAAUUAAUUGGUUACUUAAUUAAAUAACUAAUUAGGACAAAUAAUUAACCUAUGUUAGUUAAUCUAAUUAACUAAUUAAUGUAGUUAAUUAGGUAGUUAGUUAGUAUGUCAAUGACAGUGGGACCCACAUGUCAGUUUGACUAGGUCAACGGACUAGCUGACUACUGACAUCACCCUGACAUCAUGCUAAUGUCAUAAUUGCAUUUUCUAACUAAAUUAAUUCUGUUAAUUCUAAAAAUGAUUUAAAUCUUUUAAAAUUAAUAGAAAAUAAACCGUAGCUCAGAUGGAAAAACUUUGUACAUGAAAGUUGCUCAGAACGACGAGACGAACCCGGAUACGCAGCCCGUUUGUCCGCCACACACCCCUAACAUAUCCAACUCGCAACUUUCCCCCUCCGGCUCCUCUGCCCGAAAACGUGAAACACCAGGGAUACUUUCCCGGAUGUUUCCCCCCUUCACCGGUAUCACCUCAUACCGCGUUAGGGCACCCCUAGCACCAUUACUGGUCUUGUCAUGCAUCGUUAUGCAUCUGUUUGCAUUGUAUUCAUUGUUUCUUCCCCCCUCUUCUUCUGCUAGACACCGAGACCGACGCCGCUGCUGCCUAGUACGACUACGGUGUUGACGACCCCUCUCUCUUGCCGGAGCAACCAGGCAAGCCCCCCCUUUGAUCACCACAUAUCGCCUACUCUUCUCUAUACUGCUUGCAUUAGAGUAGUGUAGCAUGUUACUGCUUUCCGUUAUUCCUAUCCUGAUGCAUAGCCUGUCCUUGCUACUACUAUUGUUACCAUUACCUGCUAUCCUACUGCUUAGUAUAGGAUGCUAGUUUAUCAUCAGUGGCCCUACAUUCUUGUCCGUCUGCCAUGCUAUACUAUCGGGCUGUGAUCACUCGGGAGGUGAUCACGGGUAUAUACUAAAUACUUUACUCAUUUACAUUACUUAUGAUACUGUUCGGAGAUGGGGGCUAAGGGGAGGUGGCUCCAUCCCGGUAGAGGUGGGCCUGGGUUCCCGACGGCCCCCGACUGUUACUUUGAGGCGAAGCGACAGGGCAGGUUGAGACCACCUAGGAGAGAGGUGGGCCUGGCCCUGGUCGGCGUUCGCGGAUACAUAACAUGCUUAACGAGAUCUUGGUAUUUGAUCUAAGUCUGGCCAUUGGCUUAUACGCACUAACCAUCUACGCGGGGACAGUUAUGGGCACUCGACGUCGUGGUAUCAGCCGAAGCCUUCGUGACGUCAGCGACUGAGCGGCGCGCACCAGAUUGGACCGUAAGCCUGCUCUUGUAUUAAGGGGGCUAGUUCUGCUUCCGGCCGCGUUCGCAACGUGUAGGUGUGCAAAGGGCGAUGGGCCCAGACCCCUGCGCCAUAGGAUUUAGACCGGCGUGCUGACCUCUCUGUUGUGCCUAGGUAGGGCUGUAACGUGUUGAUCUCCCGAGGCCGGGCAUGACCCAGGAAAGUGUGUCCGGCCAAAUGUGAUCGAGCGUGUUGGGUUAUGUGGUGCACCCCUGCAGGGAAGUUAAUCUAUUCGAAUAGCCGUGAUCUUCGGUAACAGGACGACUUGGAGUUGUACCUUGACCUUAUGACAACUAGAACCGGAUACUUAAUAAAACACACCCUUCCAAGUGCCAGAUACAAUCGGUGAUCGCUCUCUCACAGGGCGACGAGGGGAGGAUCAUCGGUUAGGAUUAUGUUAUACGAUGCUACUUGGAGGUCUUGAGUCUACUCUCUUCUACAUGCUACAAGACGGAGGCUGCCAGAAGCGUAGACUUCGACAGGAUUAGUUAUCCCCCUCUUAUUCUGGCAUUCUGCAGUUCAGUCCACUGAUAUGGCCCUUUACACAUAUACCCAUGCAUAUGUAGUGUAGCUCCUUGCUUGCGAGUACUUUGGAUGAGUACUCACGGUUGCUUUCUCCCUCUUUUCCCCUAUCCCUUCUACCUGGUUGUCUCAACCAGAUGUUAAAGCCCAGGAGCCAGACGCCACCUUUGACGACGACUCCUACUACACCGGAGGUGCCUACUACUACGUGCUGCCUGAUGGAGUCAUGUACCUAGGGUAGGGUCACAGACCUGAUCUAAGUACCCUGCCCAAGGACACCCUUAGAAGAGAUCACCUUCCAGUCGACCUACGAGGGACUCACACGACUGACUUGAAGGACUCGACCACGAAGACUCACUCGACCACCAGAAGGUCAAGAGGCACUCUGCACUGCAACGGUCUGUAAUUGAGUAGACUUUAUGAUAGUAAAGACACUUUAUGUGGGGCGUUACCAGUAACGCCCCAGACUUAAUGUACCUUAAACUCUUCAUUACGUGGGUUGGCUGGGGUCCUGGCGCACUCUAUAUAAGCCACCCCCCUCCACAGGCAGAAGGGUUCGGCACCCUGUAAUCCAUAUACACAUAAUCCACUCGACCGCCUCCGGGCUCCGAGACGUAGGGCUUUUACUUCCUCCGAGAAGGGCCUGAACUCGUACAUCUCUUGUGUUUACAACCUCUCCAUAGCUAGGACCUUGCCUCUCCAUACCUACCCCCCACUCUACUGUCAGAUUUAGAUCCACGAUAGUUGGCGCCCACCGUGGGGCCGGUGUUUUAGCGAUUUUGUGGAGAAGUUGCGAUUCUUCCGAGUACUUUCAUCAUGGUAGCUGCUGGAGUUUUGGUCGAGGGUCGAGAGAUUCAUCUCGGUGCUCUCACCUUCGUCGCCGACGACUCCGCCUGGCUCCAGGAGACUCCACUCGACGUCGAUGCGCUCCCCGUCCGCGGUGCGAUGCAUUUUCGCGCAUGUGUCUGCGGCGUUCUGCUGCGGCAACCGUCGACCCCAUAUCGGUCGACUCCCCUAUCGACCACCCUCCCGGUCUCCCGCCAGCGCAAGCGCUCAGGUCGGUCGAGGCUUCAGCGGUGGGUGAGACACACGGUGGCUCGCCAGACGGCCACCACCCAAGUUGCGGCAAUCGAGCCCGACGAAUCUCUCUACGGCCUGUUCGAUCUGUCGACUGACUCCGUAGAGACUGCAUUCGAAUGCGAUAGCAGUGAUCCAGCGGCGGAAAUCCUGAUGGUCGACGGGCCUCGCAGCCCCCCUGGCUUCGCCCGUGAUGGUGGGGCAUGCGACGGAGGCGACCCCGCACGAGACCACGAAGAGUACCAGCCCGAGCCACUCGACUCUCUGCAAAGAGAAGAACUUCGCCGCAGGAACAUGGAUGCCCUGCAUACUCCCAUCGCAGGAGAAACCCCCGAGGCUCGCGCCUUGGAGGAGGCAUGUUUGGCCAAUUUGGCCGAACGCGCUCGCCUGGAGAAUCUUCAGCGAGCACUCGACGAGCGCGUGCGGCAACGAGUUCCCGACGCCAAUCGACGUCAACUCUUCCCGCCGACUUAGGUAUAUCAAACCCCAAUCCAGAAUUUAGCAGCUGCGACCCGUAUAGCAGAGUCCAUCCAGCCCUCUCAGUCGGAAGCUGGCAAAGGCUUGAUGCAGAUCAGGGAUCUGCUCCGGGCAGCAGGAGAUCAGAAUUCAGCCGUGUCGCAGUCGCGCAACAGAAUUCACAGUCGAUCCGUCACUGCGAAUACGGUUCAGUCGGCUCACAGUCCCAGAUCGCCUCCGCGGCGUGAAGGGCGGGAGAAUCGGCGAGACCAAUAUGGAGACCGACACGACCGAGAUGAUAGGCGUCGAGUGCCCACUUCCCCUCCGAGGGGUGGGUCUUAUGCUCCUCGGCAGCAAGAUGACAGACGUCAGCUCAGUGCGGGCGAAGAGUUCCAGUCGACCCCAGAGAACCAGGCUUCGACGCGCGAUCCAUUAUCGUGCAAGGCUUGGUCGACCGGAAAAGAGCCCAUCGAGGUGGACUCGACAGAGAUGCGCCCAUGAGCAGUCGAGUGCAUGUUUCUGGUCUGGAAUGUUUCAGCAGAGCUAUCAGAGCCGCAGUGAUUCCUCCCAAUUUCAGGUUGGCAACAGGAGUCAGCAAGUUCACCGGUGAGUCUAAGCCUGAAACUUGGCUUGAGGACUACCGAGUGGCGGUUCAGAUUGGUGGUGGGAAUGACGAGGUGGCCAUGAAGCAUUUGCCCCUCAUGUUGGAAGGUUCUGCCAGAGCGUGGUUGAAUCAGUUACCUCCUAGCAGCAUUUACACUUGGGAAGAUCUGUCCCGAGUGUUCGUCAGAACGUUUGAAGGAACUUGCAAGCGACCGGCUGGAUUGACAGAGCUGCAAGUCUGCGUGCAGAAAACCAAUGAGACUCUCAGGGAGUAUAUUCAGAGAUGGAUCACUUUGCACCAUACUGUGGAGAAUGUGUCUGAUCAUCAGGCAGUCUGCGCCUUCAAGGAUGGUGUCAAGAACAGAGAAUUGAGUUUGAAAUUUGGUCGAACCGGAGACAUGACCUUGAGUCGAAUGAUGGAAAUUGCUACCAAGUACGCCAACGGCGAAGAAGAAGACCGACUCCAAAGCGGCAAGCACAAGCCGAGCCAGUCGGAGAAGGGAAACACCAGUCGGAAACAGAAGCGGAAGGCUGAACUGGCAUCUCCUGGAGAGGCUCUGGCCGUUACUCAUGGAAAGUUUAAAGGGAAACCAAAAGGAUCCUGGAACCCUAAGAAGGUAAAGGAUAAAGAAGGGAACGACGUGAUGGAUAUGCCGUGUCACAUCCACACGAAGAAAGACGAAGAGGGGAAUAUCAUUUACCCAAAGCAUACCACUCGCCAAUGUCGACUCCUGAUCCAGCAGUUUCAAGGAAAACAGUCUAAAGACAAGGAAAAGGAGUCGGACAAGGCCGAAGACAAGGAGGACAGUGAGGAAGGAUAUCCGCAUGUCAACUCCACUCUGAUGAUCUUUGCAGAUGUGGAAAGCAAGAGUCGAUUGAAAGUCAUUAACUGCGAGGUGAACAUGGUUACCCCAGCAAAAGCAAAUUAUCUGAGAUGGUCCCAAACACCCAUCACAUUCGACCAAUCUGAUCACCCGACUCAUAUUGCCACCCCUGGGAGGCAAGCUUUGGUGGUCGAUCCAGUUGUCGAAGGCACUCGACUGACAAAAGUGCUGAUGGACGGUGGUAGCGGGCUGAAUUUGUUGUAUGCAGACACACUGAAAGGAAUGGGCAUUCCGAUGUCCCGACUGAGCACCAGUAACAUGAGCUUUCAUGGAGUUAUACCAGGGAAGAAAGCCGAGUCGCUCGGCCAAAUAGCUCUGGAUGUGGUGUUUGGUGAUUCGAAACAUUUUCGCAAAGAGAAGUUGACGUUUGAGGUCGUGGAUUUUCAGAGUGCAUAUCUUGCCAUUUUGGGGAGACCAGCUUAUGCACGGUUCAUGGCUCGACCAUGUUACGUGUACCUCAAAUUGAAGAUGCCCGGCCCCAAAGGAGUGAUCACUGUCACCGGUGAUCGGAAAAAGGCAGAAGAGUGCUUUCAGAAGGGCUCAAAGAUUGCUGGUUCCCAGGUGACAGCGGUCGAGUUUGAAGAAUACAAGCAAAACGCAGAUCCGAGUGAUUUGCUGCGAUCCAAGAAACCCGCCACAGAAUCUGCAUUUCAGUCGUCCGGUGAGACGAAGCCUGUUCACAUUCACCUGACCGACCCCGAUGCAACCCCGACCCACAUCUCCACAACACUCGACCCGAAAUAGGAAGAAGCGCUCAUCCAGUUCCUCCGUGAGAACUGGGACAUUUUUGCAUGGAAGCCCGCUGACAUGCGAGGUGUUCCCAGGGGACUGGCUGAGCAUCGCCUAAGAGUCGACUCAUCAGCAAAACCAGUCAAAGAGCAUCUUCGGCGGUCCGCCAUCCAGAAGAGAAAAGCCAUUGGUGAGGAAGUGGCUCGACUGUUGGCGGCAGGAUUUAUCCGAGAGAUAUACCACUUCGAAUGGCUCGCUAAUGUCGUCAUGGUUCCUAAGAAGGACAAAUCGCUCCGAAUGUGCAUUGAUUUCGAGCACAUCAACCGGGCCUGCCCGAAAGAUCAUUUUCCUCUCCCUCGCAUAGAUCAAAUUGUUGACUCGACCGCGGGAUGUGAGAGAUUGUCUUUUCUAGACGCCUACUCCGGGUACCACCAGAUCCGUCUGUACGGACCCGAUGAGGUAAAAACAACUUUCAUCACUCCAUUCGGGUGCUUCUGCUAUAUCACCAUGCCAUUCGGCCUCAAGAAUGCCGGAGCCACAUUUAUGCGAAUGAUUCAGAAGUGUCUACUCACUCAAAUCAGUCGAAAUGUGGAAGCGUAUAUGGAUGAUAUCGUCGUCAAGUCACGAAAAGGUUCUGACCUGCUCGCUGACCUCGCCGAAACAUUUGCCAACCUCAGAAGGUAUGAUAUCAAGCUCAAUCCAUCAAAGUGCACAUUCGGAGUUCCUGGUGGCAAGUUACUCGGUUUUCUCGUUUCCGAGCGAGGGAUCGACGCUAAUCCAGAAAAGAUCGACACUAUUCUCCGAAUGAAACGCCCUAUGCGAGUGCACGAUGUCCAGAAGCUUACUGGAUGCUUGGGCGCAUUAAGUCGAUUCAUCUCACGACUCAGUGAAAAGGCAUUGCCUCUUUACCGACUAAUGAAGAAGGCAGACAAGUUCGAGUGGACUCCAGAAGCUGAUGCAGCGUUUGCCGAGCUAAAAGCUCUGCUCUCCACCCAGUCGGUGCUUGCUACUCCAAUCAGCAAAGAGCCUCUGUUGCUUUAUAUCGCAGCCACACGACAAGUCGUCAGUACAGUUCUCACGGUCGAGCGGGAAGAAGAAGGAAAAGCUUUCAAAGUUCAGCGCCCAGUGUAUUAUUUGUCUGAAGUCUUGACUCCAUCCAAGCAGAGAUAUCCUCAUUAUCAGAAGCUUGUGUAUGGAAUAUACAUGACCACAAAGAAGGUUGCUCAUUAUUUCUCUGAUCAUUCCAUCACAGUCGUCAGCGACGCUCCACUAUCAGAGAUUUUGCACAACAGAGAUGCAACUGGUCGAGUGGCAAAAUGGGCGAUUGAACUUCUUCCCCUUGAUAUCAAGUUUGAAGCAAAGAAAGCCAUUAAGUCCCAGGCAAUAGCAGAUUUCCUCGCCAAGUGGAUUGAACAGCAGCAGCCGACUGAAGUUCACUCGGAGCAUUGGACCAUGUUUUUUGAUGGCUCUAAGAUGUUGAAUGGUUCCGGUGCUGGGGUUGUCCUGGUUUUCCCCCAGAGGAGAUAAGCUCGGAUAUGUGCUCCAGAUUCACUUUGAUUCCUCCAACAAUGAGGCAGAGUAUGAGGCCCUCUUAUACGGAUUGCGCAUGGCCAUUUCACUCGGCGUCCGUCGCCUGAUGGUCUAUGGCGAUUCAGAUUUAGUGGUCAACCAAGUGAUGAAGGAGUGGGACGUGAGAAGCCCAGCCAUGACUGGAUACUGCAGUGCAGUGAGGAAGCUGGAAAAGAAGUUCGAGGGGUUGGAGCUCCAUCAUAUACCCCGACUGAAAAAUCAAGCAGCUGAUGAUCUAGCAAAGAUAGGUUCCAAGAGAGGAGCCAUUCCGAGUGGUGUGUUCUUGGAGCAUAUACACACUCCGUCAGUCAAAGAAGAUCCUUUCACUGAAGAAGCUCCACAGUCCAAGAGUGCCACAGAUCCGACUGAGGUUGAAGUCCCAGCAGUGGUCGACUUGGUCAUGGAGGUCUUGGUGGUCAUUCCCGACUGGACAGUUCUGUAUAUCGCGUAUAUCCUGAGAAAAGAGCUUCCGGAGGAUGAGGAAGAGGCUCGACAGAUCAUCCGUCGAUCUAAAGCCUUUACCGUAAUCAAAGGACAGUUAUAUAGAGAAAGCGCGACUGGAGUUGGUCAGAAGUGCAUAACACCAGAAGAAGGUCGAAUCAUCCUUAAUGAUAUCCACUUGGGGACCUGUGGUCAUCAUGCGUCCUCUCGGACCAUCGUGGCAAAAGCAUACCGAGCCGGAUUUUACUGGCCAAAGGCGAAUGAGAUGGCAAAGGAAAUAGUGGAUAAGUGCGAAGGAUGUCAGUUCUACUCGAAUAUGUCGCACAAGCCUGCAUCAGCUCUGAAGACCAUUCCACUCGUCUGGCCUUUUGCAGUAUGGGGGUUGGACAUGGUCGGUCCUUUGAGAACAGGUCGAAGUGGCUUCACGCAUGUACUGGUGGCAGUCGACAAGUUCACCAAGUGGAUUGAGGCUAAACCAAUCAAGAACCUUGACGCCGGUACUGUUGUUAGCUUCAUCAGGGAACUGAUAUUCAGAUAUGGAGUCCCGCACAGCAUCAUUACGGAUAAUGGGUCGAACUUUGACUCGGAGGAAUUCAGGGAUUUCUGCAACUCUCAAGGCACAUGAGUCGACUACGCUUCAGUCGCCCAUCCGCAGACGAAUGGACAAGCAGAGCGAGCCAAUGGCUUGAUUCUCAAGGGAUUGAAACCCCGACUGAUGCGUGAUCUCAAGCAUGCAGCUGGAGCGUGGGUCGACGAACUUCCCUCGGUGCUUUGGGGACUGCGGACCACACCUAAUCGAUCGACCGGAAGAACUCCAUUCUUCUUGGUCUACGGAGCUGAAGCAGUCUUGCCGAGUGAUCUUCUCCACAAUGCUCCUCGAGUUGAGAUCUACAACGAAGCAGAAGCUGAACAAGCGCGGCAGGACGCAGUCGACCUUUUAGAGGAAGAAAGGGAGAUGGCUCUGAUCCAAUCGACCAUCUACCAACAAGAUUUGCGUCGUUUCCACGCCAGAAAUGUGAGGGGUCGAGCCUUCCAGGAAGGAGAUUUAUUUCUCCGAGUGGAUCAGAAGAAACAUCACAAGCUUGCUCCUUCUUGGGAAGGACCCUUCAUCGUCACCAAAGUUCUCCACAACGGGGCGUACCGUCUUUACAACGUCGAACAUAAUAUCGACGAGCCCCGAGCUUGGAACGCGGAACUACUCCGCCCAUUUUACACUUAAGUUUAUCACUCGGAUGAGUUGCAAUAAAGUACUCCUGUAGUUCAUGGAUUUCAAAAUAAUAGUGUCAUAGUUCCUCCAUAAUUUUUGUCACUUUUUAUUUUGUCCAAUAAAAUUUUCCCCUCAGUGGGUGACUUAGCCGCGAAUCCGUUUCGCCUAAGUUUGUAAAAAUCCUUACCGAGUGGUGAGCCAGACUCCCACUCAGAGGCUUAGCUGCGAAUCCGUUUCGCCUAAGAUUAAAUAAAAUCCUAACGAGUGGUAAGCCAGACUUCCACUCGGGGGCUUAGCUGCAGUCCAAGUACUCGCCUAAGUUAUAAAAAUCCUACCGAGUGGUAAGCCAGACUUCCACUCAGAGGCUUAGCUGCGAAUCCGUUUCGCCUAAGAUUAAAUAAAAUCCUACCGAGUGGUAAGCCAGACUUCCACUCGGGGGCUUAGCUGCAGUCCAAGUACUCGCCUAAGAUAUAAAAAUCCUACCGAGUGAAGAGCAAACCUCUCACUCGGGGGCUUAGCUGCAGCCCAGUGCUCGCCUAAGAUAUAAAAAUCCUACCGAGUGAAGAGCAAACCUCUCACUCGGGGGCUUAGCUGCAGCCCAGUGCUCGCCUAAGAUAUAAAAAUCCUACCGAGUGAAGAGCAAACCCCUCACUCGGGGGCUUAGCUGCAGCCCAGCGCUCGCCUAAGAUAUAAAAAUCCUACCGAGUGAAGAGCAAACCCCUCACUCGGGGGCUUAGCUGCAGCCCAGCGCUCACCUAAGUGGAUUAAGGAAUAAGUCGACUGCAGUGAGCGUCUUGCUUUGAACCUGCAAAAGACAUUUCAAGCCAAAAGCAAUCAUAUUCAAACAUCAAAUUCAAGUUCGGAACGAUACCUAAAGGAACCGAAAGUGCUCAGGCGCUAAGCCUGUUAAGGUUUAUCGGUUACAAUUCCACUCGGCAUACCGAGGCAAAUUUAAAGCGUCGAGCUUAAAAGAAGUUUUUUACCCCUCCUGUGGAGGGCUGGAAGGUGCAACAAACUCAUCAAGAUCAAUUCCAUCUGCGAUCCGAGUGGCAGCAGCAAUGAAAGUUUCCAUAAAGGACCUGAAGUCGUGUUUCUUGGUGUUGGCCACCCGGAGGGCCACCAGCUUGUCUUCUCGCGCAUCUUUGCAGUGGACUCAGGCCAGACACAGAGCAACAUCUGCACCGCACCGAGCCGAGGACUUUUUCCACUCCUGCACUCGACCAGGGACCGUGUUCAAGCGAGCCAUCAGCGACUCGAGGUCGUUCUGGAGUGUCUCCCUGGGCUAGAGCGUUGAGUCGAUGCGAGAUGUGGCGACCUUCAGCCUUGCAAGAUAGUCCACGACAGCUGCAACACGGGACUCCAGUCGGAAAACAUUCAUGGCAACUUCGUCGUUCACCGAAGAAUUGACGGGGUCAAGGUUUGGUUCCAGCCGGCUAGUCUCUUCUUCAAAGUCUUGACAAAAUUCUGCAAGGGCGAUCACCGAGUCAAGGCAAUGGUCGAAUGGAAAAAUCACAGUUGAAAAUGAUUGUUGAGCGUAAAGGUUUACCUUCAAGCAUAAGGAACAGCUUCUUGGCAAGACCACUCACGAAGGCCUCCAGAUCAUUUUUCUUCCCAAGAGCAGCUUUCAGAUUGGUAUUUUCUUGUUCAAGCUUGGUGACUGAAGCUAACUUCUCGUCAGCAAGCUUGAUCUUCUCAGCUAGUUCAAGGUCUUUUUUCUGUUGGGCCUCCUUCACCUUACCUGCAAGUUACAACAAGAUCAGAUUUUGAAACAAAUAAAGGGAAAAAGCAGUCGUCGAGGUCUCACCAAACAUACCUUUGGUCUCCUCCUUUGCCUUCGUCAGAUUCUCCUGAACCAGCUUCAAAUCCAGCUCGAGCUGAAUGUGCUUGUUUUCCAGCUCAGUGUAGCGAGCCGCAAGGUCACAGGAUCUCUGCGAAGAAUCAAUCGACUAAAUGUCAAAGAUAAUUCACUUCCGAGUGGAAAAGGAAAAAUCAUGCGUUUCUAAGACUACAGCCGAAUACAAGCAUUCGACCAUAGUCUCGGGGACUACACCCAGUGGGUGCACUCAACGUGCCCCCACUAAUCCUAUUGAAGACAGAGUCGACCAGUCGACCUCAAAAAAAAACAAGAUGUAUUCUUUAAGACUGUAAUCGACUGCAAGCAGUCGACCACAGUCUCGGGGACUACACCCAAUGGGUGCACUCAGCGUGCCCCCACCGGUUUGCGAAAUCCAUUCGCCAUAGUCGAAUGACGGAAAGACUGAACUUAUAAAGCCUAAGGCCGACUACCAGCAGUCGACCUUAGCCUUGGGGACUACACCCAGCGGGUGCACUCAGCGUGCCCCCGCUAACACGGAGUUUAAAUCGACACACCCAGUGGGUGAUUACUAUAAAUUCUGGAAAGAAAAGUUUUUGAUAGCAUAUCCUAACAGAACAAGCGGUGGUCGACUGACCUGAACAUUGCUUUGAAGGGCGGAACUGGCAUCGUAAGCUGCCGGGCUCGCAUCCCGGAUGGUCUUCAACUGCUCCAUCAUGAUCCCUGCCUGGCGUAUCACCUCCUUCGCGGCGCCAGCUUGGUCCUCUGGGACGUGGUGCGUCGUGAAGAGGGAGGGCUGCAGAGCACUCGUCAGUGGAUCUGUGAAGGACACAGUGUGUCGAGUGGUGUUCUCCUCCUCCGCGACCAGAGUCUCAGGCACCGUCACAUCCUGGGGCACCCUGCCGGCAGACGCUUUCCUACUCCUUCUGUGCUUCAGCGGUUCCUCAUCUUCAUCAUCAUCAUCCUCAGCGGCGUCCGAGUCCCACUCCUCCUCCUGGCUCUCGCCCCCGCUCGCUUCUCCCUCCUCAGUCGGAGCCUGUGCUCCAUUGGGCAUCGAGUACAGCUCAGUGAGGACCUGAUAGACAUCAAGACAAAGAUCAGUCGACCGAUCGGCAGAGAAAACAGAAAUAAAUGUGACAAGAAUACAAUGGGAAGUGGAGCAAACAUACCUUGUUUGGAUCACUGUGGUGGUCGAGUGGAGGAAUCCUUCUGGCUCCACGAGGGUUAUCCUUGUUCCCAGUAACAGCGGCCAUCCACCUUUCCAGAGUGGCAUCGUCGACUGCUUCUGGAUUGACCCGAGUCUCAUCCUCAGUCCCGCGGUACAACCACAUGCAAUGGCUCCAGAACUGAAGAGGCUGGAUACGACGCCUAAGAAAAACCUCCAGGAGAUCCAUACCCGUCACUCCCUCCCGAACCAACUGAACUACACGCUCCAUCAGCAUCUUCACGUCAGCUUUCUCCUUCGGAAUCACCUUCAGAGAGGAGGGCUUGUUCACUCGGCCCAUGAUGAACUGAGGGAGUCCACUCGGCUGCCCCGGCGUCGGCUGAUCCUGGCAGUAGAACCAGGUCGACUGCCAGCCUCUGACUGACUCGGGAAAUGUCAUGGCUGGGAAGGUGCUCUUGUUCCUCACCUGGAUCCCCAGACCCCCACACAUUUGGACAACUUGGGUUUUUUCGUCGCCUGGGCUCGCCUUCUUCACGAUCUGAGAGCGACACGUGAAUAUGUGCUUGAACAAACCCCAAUGCGGUCGACAACCCAGAAAACUCUCACACAUGGACACAAACGCGGCAAGAUAGGCGAUAGAAUUCGGGGUGAAGUGGUGGAGUUGCGCUCCAAAGAAGUUCAAGAAACCACGGAAGAAAACGCUCGGCGGCAAAGAAAAUCCGCGGUCGACAUGGGUAGCCAGAAGCACGCACUCACCCUCUUCCGGCUGGGGCUGCCACUCUUUCCCCGGAAGCCUUGCAGCUCCAUGAGGGAUCAGGCCCUCGUUGGCCAUGUCGAGGAGAUCCGUCUCCGUGAUGGUCGAUUGGAUCCAAUCUCCCUGGACCCAGCCUUUCGGCAGGCGAGAUCUAGACGAAGACCCGCCGCGACUGGUGGAUCUCCCCUUCGCCUUCUCCGUCGCCGACGCCUUCUUCGCGCGUUCCAACGCCGCCGUCUUCUCCUUGACCAUGGCUGCCGGCGAGACGCGCGAGGAGAAGUUGUGCGGAGGUGAGAGCGAGCGCGUUGGGCGAAGACGAAGGGAGCAAAGAGAGGAUGCUGAGGCACUGCUCAAAAAACCCUCGUCGGGCGCGUUUAUAAGAUCCCUUCCGAGUGGAUGACAGGUGGGCCCGGUCGAUCUAAUCAUAUCCUGAAACAGUUGCGCGGACGUGAUACGUGGCGAAAAAAGCGGCGCGGGGAUCGAGGCGUCUAUGCCCCGUCCCAUCCGAGCGCCGCGGUCCGCCCCGCUUCGCGCGCUUCCCCAAAUUUCGUAUCCCGCGGAAUCCGCGAACGGCAGAUCGGUCUGCCAGACGCGGGAUUUCCUGCGAUCCGUCGCUCGGAAAUCGGUGAAGUCCAAAAGAUCACUCGACGAAGGAAAAGAAUGGAUCGAGUCGACUGAAGAAAAGUUGCUCACUAUCAACAAAGAGAUUUUUUGGUUCAAAACAACGCACGACCAGUAUGCGAAGGCUAAUCAGAAACAACAUCAACUCCUUCAUCACUCAAGCCUCAAUCCAUUCGGGGGCUAAUGAUGGAGUCAUGUACCUAGGGUAGGGUCACAGACCUGAUCUAAGUACCCUGCCCAAGGACACCCUUAGAAGAGAUCACCUUCCAGUCGACCUACGAGGGACUCACUCGACUGACUUGAAGGACUCGACCACGAAGACUCACUCGAGCACCAGAAGGUCAAGAGGCACUCUGCACUGCAACGGUCUGUAAUUGAGUAGACUUUAUGAUAGUAAAGACACUUUAUGUGGGGCGUUACCAGUAACGCCCCGGACUUAAUGUACCUUAAACUCUUCAUUACGUGGGUUGGCUGGGGUCCUGGGGCACUCUAUAUAAGCCACCCCCCUCCACAGGCAGAAGGGUUUGGCACCCUGUAAUCCAUAUACACAUAAUCCACUCGACCGCCUCCAGGCUCCGAGACGUAGGGCUUUUACUUCCUCCGAGAAGGGCCUGAACUCGUACAUCUCUUGUGUUUACAACCUCUCCAUAGCUAGGACCUUGCCUCUCCAUACCUACCCCCCACUCUACUGUCAGAUUUAGAUCCACGACACUGCCCGCUGACGACGACCAGGAGUAGUUUAGGAGGAUCCCAGGCAGGAGGCCUGCGCCUCUUUCGAUCUAUAUCCCAGUUUGUGCUAGCCUUCUUAAGACAAACUUGUUUAACUUAUGUCUGUACUCAGAUAUUGUUGCUUUCGCUGACUCGUCUAUGAUCGAGCUCUUGUAUUCGAGCCCGCGAGGCCCCUGGCUUGUAAUAUGAUGCUUGUAUGACUUAUUUUAUUUGUAGAGUUGUGUUGUGAUAUCUACCCGUGAGUCCUUGAUCUUGAUCGUACACAUUUGCGUGCAUGAUUAGUGUACGGUCAAAUCGGGGGUGUCACAUUGAUCGAGUAAGCGGACCAGGUGCAUUGAUACUAUCAAAUGGAAGUUUGCUAGUUGUGUAGCUCUUGAUCGAGUAAGCAGACCAGGUGCAUUGAUACUAUCAAUUAUCUUGUCAAUAUGAACUUCAUUGGCCACACGAGGAUGGAUAGGGUGAAGAUUUUGCUGUUAUUGAUCAUUGUCUUCACCUUCAGCAUUGUCUUCAGGCUCGUCAUUGUCUUCACGUUGAGUAGGAGCUGGAAUGACAAUUUCCUUUUCUGUCUGUUCCUCGGUGGGUAUGAUUUCUCCAAUACCCAUUAGGUUAAUAGAUUCACUUGGAGAAGCUUCAUCUAGCACAUUUGGCAGGUGCUCUCUUUGUGAACCAUUAGUCUCGUCGAAUCACACAUCUACAAUUUCAACCACUUUAUAGUGAAAGAGGUUGAAGACUGUAGGUGUGCAUAUCAUUUCCGUAAUCGAGCACAAAACCUUCAUGUGCUUUCGAUUCAAAUUUGGAAGUGUGGUGUGGAUCCUUGAUCCAGCAGCUGGCACUGAAUACUUUGAAAUAACUUACGUUUGGCUUCUUACAGUAAAUAGUUCAUAAGAUGUCUUCUUGAAGAAUUUAUGAAGAUAAACUAUGUUGAUGAUAUGGCAUGCAGUAUCAAUGGCUUCAGGCCAGAACUUUCUUGGAGUCUUGUACUCAUAAAGCAUCAUACGAGCCAUCUCAAUAAGGGUCUUGUUCUUGCGCUCCACGACGCCAUUCUGCUGAGGAGUGUAUGGAGCAGAGAGCUCAUGAGUGAUGACUAGUGUAUCAAGAUAAGUGUCGAGGCAUGUGUUCUUGAAUUCCAUGCCAUUGUCACUCUUGAUGUGCUUGAUCUUGAUGCCAUAGUUAGUCAUGGCGCGAAUGGCAAAUCAUCUGAAGACAUCUUGCACUUCAGUCUUGUAGAGAAUUAUGUGCACCCAAGUAUAUCUAGAAUAAUCAUCAACAAUUACGAAGCCAUAAACAUGUGUAGUGGUAGUAAGGGUAGAGUAGUGAGUAGGGCCAAAUAAGUCCAUGUGUAGCAACUCGAAGGGACAUGAAGUCGUCAUGAUUGUCUUCGAGGGACAUUUUUCCCUAGUCAUCUUCCCGGCUUCGCAAGCGCCACAUAGAUGGUCCUUCUUGAACUUGAUGCCCUCGAUGCCAAUGAUGUGCUUCUUCUUCUUCACGAGAAUGUGCAAGUUCCUCAUGCCCGCAUGUCCUAGCCUUCAAUGCCAAAGACAGCACUCUGAGGCUUUUGCUAGGAGACAUACGGCAAGUUGUGGUCCAGCGGAGAAAUCUACCAUAUACAGAUCACCUCUUCAAGAACCUUAGAAGACUAGAGAUUUGUCAGAAGCCAUUAGCACAAGGCAUCGAUCUUUUCCGAAUAUCGCAAUCAUGUCAAGAUCACAAAGCAUUGAGACAGACAUUAAGUUGUAUCCUAGGGAUUCAAUAGGAAUCACUUUAUCCAUGUGUUGAUCCUUUGACAUAGCAACUCUACCUAGGCCCAAUACCUUGCUUUUACCAGCGUCAGCAAAUGUGAUAUAGCUUUUAGUAGAUGGUCGAAGAGUAGAAUCCAUGAGAAGACUUCGAUCACCAGUCAUGUGGUUAGUGCAUCCACUGUCCAUGAUCCAUUCAGUAGCUUUCGGAGUUGUACCCUACAGUCAGUUAGUAGGAUAGGCUUCACAAAGAGUAUUGUGAAGGAGAAACAUUUGACGAACAAGAAUAUUAUGAAAUGUAAGAUUCUUGGAUGGUAAGAUGGGAUGCUCUUCAAGAAAUCCAUGGACGAAAUAAAUGGUAAGACCAUUUUGACAUUUUAUCUUGCGUCCGACAAGAUGUUUUAGGUCCCCAGCAUUGUCUUCAGAAGUCAAUGAUUUUUGGCUGGAGACCCGACCAUGCAAGAGAAGUUAAUUCUUCUUAACCACCCACAUCUCAAGGGGUGGCUUAGAAGCAAUGAGUCUAAGUGCAGCAUUUGAGAACUUUGGCUUUGAAGCCCUAGCAAAUAGUUUUGUAGGAGGUGAAUAGUACUCAAAAGAAUAUGCAGAAAAGUUCUUUGAUUUGUGAACAUAGCAGUUUGAAUAAACACGCUCAUAUUCAUGAGUCUGAUGAUUGUUUCCCUGCAAAACAUUGGCGUUAGGGUGACCUUGUGAGGUCCUCUGUCUGUAUGAAGCCUUUGGGCCAUAUGAAGCCUUUGAUCUGGGGUUUGUCUUCUUCCCUGGUGGUGUCAUGAUGACAUUCAUGGGAAGCUUCUCAAGACGAAUUUUAGGAACCCGGAUCUUCUUCAUAGGUGACCCAUUCCUUCAGUUAGCUCCAAUAAACCUGGCAAACACUUCACCAUUCUGAUUCUUGAAUAGUUUAUAGUUGGAGUCAAAUGACUCAUCAAUGAUAACAGGGUUAGCACAAGUGAAACCACAUAAGGUGGAUGGAUCCACUGAAGGGCCUUUCGCAGCAACCCAUGUGGUUUUGGGGGUACUGUUCAGGCUUCUAGUAAGAGCCAUCAACAUUAAUUUUCCUCUCGAAACCAACACCCUCUUUUCUAGGGUUUCGGUUCAGAAUAUGUUUCUUGAGGACAUCACAUAGUGUCUGAUGCCCUUUGAGGCUUUUGUACAUGUCUGUUUCAAGCAAUGUCUUCAACCUGGCAUUCUCGUCAGCAAUAGUAGUGGCAUCCUCAAAAGAGGGGUUAGUUACCACAUCAACAGUUGAAGAUAUUGCAAUUCCAGAAGCAGUAGAACAUUAAGCAAUAGAGAUAGCAUUGUCUCGCUCAAGGCAUUUUAGGCUAGGUGGCACAAAAUCUUCCUGAGCGGAACUGAUCUGUUAGCAAGUAGUGAAUCAUUUUCCUUUUGAAGAUCUUCAUGAGACGCUCUCAGUUUCUCUAGAUCUUGCUUCCUUUGAAGAUAAUCAUAGGAAAGCUUCCCAUGAGUAGCGGAGAGGGUUUCAUGACAACUUUCAAGUUCCUCGUACUUAAAAUGAAGAUUUUUUAUGUCUUUGAUUAAGGACUGAGUUCGAUUCAUUUCCUUGUCCAAUAGGUCAUUACUUUUGUAUAGCAAGUUUUGAAUAUUUUCCAUGGUUGUUUGUUGUUCAGUUGCAACUUUAGCAAGAGUUUUAUAGCUGGGUUUGGAUUCGCAUUUAGAGUCAUCUUCACUGGAGGUCUGAAAGUAAAUAUCGCGUGAGUUUACCGUAACACCUCUUGCCAUGAAGCAGUAGGUGGGAGUAGAAUCAUCGUCCUUAGUAGCUUCAGCAUCGGCGUCGUGACCAUUGUCUUCAGUGUUGAAGAUGGACUUGGCGACGAAUGCCGAAGCUAGAGCCACGCUUGACACGCCUGAAUCAGACUCCUCCAUAGACUCCACCUUUGCCUCCUCAAAAGCAGACUCCUCCUUUGAAUCCAUUUCCUUGCCAAUGAACGCACGAGCCUUGUCAGAUGAGCUCUUAUUGUAAGAUGAAGACUUUGAGGGUUUCUUCUUCUUCUUAUCAUCAGAGUCAUAGUCCUUUCUCUUCUUCUUUUUCUUUGUUUCCUUCUCCCAUUGAGGACAUUCAAAUAUGUAGUGGCCUGGCUUCUUGCAUUUGUGGCAUGUUCUCUUCUUGAAGUCACGGGUGGAAGCCUCAUCAUUCUUGGAGCUGGAUCUUGAAGAUUUUCCGAAGUGAUUCUUCUUGGAGAACUUUUUGAACUUUCUCACAAGCAUUGCUAGCUCUUUGCCUAUGUCUUCAGGAUCAUCAAAACUACAGUCAAAUUCUUCAGAUGAGGAUACAGCUUUUGCCUUCAAGGCAUGAGAUCGGCCAUAGUUGGGACCACAGAUAUCUCUCUUCUCAGAUAGUUGGAACGAGUGUGUUGAGCCUCUCAAGUAUGUCAGACGGAUCAAGAUCUUUGAAGUCAGGACGUUCUUGGAUCACCAGUGUGUCAAAUGAGCUGUCAAGUGAUCUCAAUAGCUUCUUCACGACUUCGUGCUUGGUGAUCUCAGUGGUGCCAAGUGCACGAAGCUUAUUUGUGAUAUCAGUGAGGCGGUUGAAAAUGAGAUAAACAUUCUCAUUGUUAUUCCUCUUGAAUCGGUUGAAGAGAUUGCGAGGCACAUGUAUUCUUGAGUCUCUCUGUGCUAAGACGCCUUCGUUGACCUUGGACAGCCAGUCCUAGACUAGCUUCGUAGAUUCCAGAGCACUCACACGGUCAUACUUCCCUUUUGUCAGAUGACCAUACAUGAUGUUCUUGGCAAUUGAGUCUAGUUGCGCGAACCUCUUUACAUCAGCAGCGGUGGCGCCUUCACCAACUUUGGGAACGCCAGUCUUGACGACAUACCAGAGGUCAUUGUCAAUGGAUUCAAGAUGCAUGCGCAUCUUAUUCUUCUAGUCGGGGUAAUCAGUGCCAUCGAAGACGGGGCACGCGGCGGAGACUUUGAUUAUCACUAUAGUUGACAUAGCUAAAACUCCAGGUGGUUAAACCGAAUCACACAGAACAAGGGAGCACCUUGCUCUGAUACCAAUUGAAAGUGCUAGUUAUCGACUAGAGGGGGGUGAAUAGGCGAUUUUUAUGAAAGUCUUCAAGACAUGAAAUGUCUUCGAAGACAAGCAAGCAAAUAACACCUACACAGUAUGCAGCGGAAGAUAAACUACACUAGACAAGCCAUAGUCAAAGAAACAUUAUAAGGAUAGCACGAAGACAAAUACUUGUUGGGUAGAAUAGAUCGGAAUAGGAAGAAAGUGUGAAGCCAAAUGUGCAAUCAGAGAGAAUAUCUUCACACAGUGAAGUCAGAAAUGACAAGAAAGCAAUGACUUCACGAAGCUAAACAGUAAGUAAAGGGUGAAGUAAUAGAACCAGUAGCUUGACGAAGACAAGGAUUUGGUAGACCAGUUCCACUUGUUGUGACAACUGUACGUCUGGUUAGGGAGGAUGAGACUGAACUCGGAAGACCGCGUCUUCACCUUAUUCCCCUUGAGCUAAGGACACUUAGUCCUCGCCCAAUCACCCUGGUAAGUCUUCACGGUAGACUUCCAAACCUUCAUAGACUUCGUUCACCGGUAAUACACAAUGACUCUUGGAUCCUCAUAACGUGACGCCUAACCGACUGGAAGAUCACAGUCUCCAAGUGGAAUAAGUCUUCAAAUCACACGGACAGAAAGACUUCAGUGAUGCCAAACACUCUUUGGUCCAUGGGUGUUUUGGGCUUUGUCCUUGCAAGGAUUCUCUCUCAAAGGCUUCGGAGGUGGGUUGCUCUCAAACGACAAAAGUCGUGCACUAACUCUGAGCAGUCGCCAAUUUAUGGUGUAGGGGGUGGGCUAUUUAUAGCCAGGAGGCAACCAGACAUGAUACGCCCGAAAUAACCCUGGGUCACUAAGGAGCCAACACAUGUCCAACGGUCGAAUUUCAAACACACGCGGCAGCUUUACUUGGGCUCCAAGCAAAGUUGACUCAUCCAACUCUGGAUGAGAUUUUCUCUCAUUGUCUUCACUCGAAGACAUAGGAUUUGGGUUGAGCAUCACGUUAGUUUUCUGACUUUGUUUACUUGGACCCCACUUGACAGUUUGGUGGUUCCUAUGACUCAAGAAAUAGAAAUGAAACUACGAAACAAACUAUGUCUUCGCACUCCAUUGUAUUCGACGUGAAUGUCUUCACGAACCACCAUUGUCUUCAUACAUUUUUAGGGGUCAUCUCCGACAGGUAAACCGAAUCAAUAGGGACUUCUACCUGUGUUCUCCUGUGAAUCUCACAAACACAUUAGUCCCUCAACCACGUUUGUCGUCAAUACUCCAAAACCAACUAGGGGUGGUACUAGAUGCACUUACACAGUCAUCUUCAGGAAUAUAGCUAAUCCGCCACUAGUACAAUCACUUCCCUUUGCCAACAUAUGCGGCAUGCUCAACAUCAUCCUAAACUUUUCCGUUCUCUUCUUGUCGAGCUUGGCCUCUCACAAAAAUAAAAUACCAAGGUCGUCUUAUGGAGAUCCAGAAGACCACGAAAUGUCAGCCUAUUCCCCAUUCCCUCGCAGUUCCAAGCUACAAUCUUCAUUGGGGACUGCAUGGCCGACUCAGCAGCCUUGCUUCAGCGUCAUUAGUUGAGUUUCCGGAUCCCUCCGUCACUGCCCCACUAUUCUUCACCUCUGUUGAGUGCACAAUAUCCAGUCCAUCAAGUUUAUCUUCCCCUCUCAUCCUGUCCCACGACAAAUCACUCAGUUCCGAUUUCUCCAACUCAUCCCCUAUUAUCCCCUUAUUCUUUUCUUCCACGCGCCUUGAUCCAGACUUGUUUCCCCCCAAGUCCAAUUGUUUACGUGCCCCCUCGUCCUUGCUCAGUUCAUUUCUAUCUUUACCAUUAUUUAACUUCAAAGGGCUAGUAACCACAGAAUCAUCACCGCCAGUGGCUUACUUGUUCACACUAGCACCCAAACCAUUUUCUCUGUGCCAUGAGAGACUAGCUUCCACUGUCCGACGAACUCCCACCAAAGCCCAACUUGUAAUUAUGAGUACCUCGACCUCCCGGACUAUAGAUCCAGCUACUACUCUUCCACUCGUAACCACCUGACCAACCAUCAUCUUCAAAGCUUCUCUGCAUUAGUGGAACAAACUUUAGCCAUGGUCCAAAUUCUUGAUCUUCUCUCUUCAGCACUACAACACAUGCCUUUUUCGCAUAACUGGUGCGGCCACAUGUCUAGCGAAAAGCAUGUAAAACCUUUUAUUCAAAGGCACACCAUUUUCGUUCAUACCCACCUUUUCCCUUCUUAUUCCUCUUUGUAUAUCUCCUUUUACUAUAUUAUCCUUGUGCAUCACCAUGUCCCAAACAAUGCAAUUAACACGUGCCACAUUCUCCUCAUCGGUUAUGCAUUUGUGUAAUACUGAGCCUCCUCCAAGUGAUCUUCUAGAAUCCUCUAUGAAACCUAACAAUGAACUGAUGUGCCUCACACAAAGUAUCAUUUGAAAGCCAUCAAUUCACACCUCCCUUCCACAAAGGGGAAUACCAACCUCCGGGGUCGAAGAGUACGCCACUCUUUUUCAUGUACAAUGUCUUCGUUAGACACAGUUGAUCCAGACUUAGGAUUCAAGAAAAGAACUCCCCUAGACAUCGCCUAGCACACGUCCUACCAUUCAAUGUGACACAAGCUUCAAACUCCAUGAAUCUCAUCUGGGGCAUGUACUAAACACCACAAAACACUCAUCUCAGUUUUGAUUACCAUAUCUUCAGUCGAGGCCACCUUAACGAGAAUAGGUAGCGAUCCCCUCAAUCAUGGCAAGCCAUUGGAAGAGGGGCCAAGUAUCUUGGCCAGGAACGAAAAUCAUGUUUCCCGUCCUUGCCCUUCACAAAUUUCUUCUCAUAGGCCACCCACUGGUCAUUGGAAAUAUGGAGAAUUUGCCAAGCCCUCGCCUUCAAACUAUCCAUCACCCGUCAGAUACAUACCAAGGUUCCCGAACACUAUCCCUUAACGGAGAGCAAGCUCUCAAGUCCCUUGACCACCCACCCAAGUCCUCACCAACACGCUUGGCUAAGUAUUUGGAUUUCUGAAGGAAUUGAAGGGAAAUAAGCGACAUGGAAAAAAAUUGGAAAGAGAGACUGAAAAGAGGAAGACGUAGUAUGGAAAGAAGAGAUUGAAAAGAGGAAGACGUAGAAGGGGCGGGAGUAAGUCGAUCAGAACAAACAAUUGACCACAUGCUAGUAUAAGAUUAGAUCCUCAUAUACCAAACAAUCCCUAAUUAGUAGUGCGUCCUCAAAUUUGUAAAGGUAUGUCUCAAAAUUAAAAGAGGAAGAUUGAAGCUGAGAUGAAGGAUGGAGCUAGAAUCCAGAAAGAAAGAAAAAAAAUAGAAUCAGGAGGAAGAAAUCACAGCAUGGCUAGUGUAGAUUAGGCUCGGGCGAUAAGAGAAGAGCCUGAAUUAAUCUCACCCUCUAAAAUCAUCAGAAUCAAGGGACACUGGUUUGUUUAGUAUUCCCUUCAUCCAAAAAAGCUUAUCCCUCAAAUGAUUGUAUCUAACACCAUCCAUUUAAAAGUUUGGGCCAAGUUUUUUCGGACCGAGGGAGUACUAAUGAUUGGCCAUUUUAUAGGAGAUGCCUGACCACUUCUUGUCUUGGAUACUUGGAUAGAGGAAGUAUUAUAAAAACACUAGGUGUAACAUAUAUAGUAGAAUUCUGGCAUUACAACAUAUAGCGGCAAGAAAAUACUACAGACAAAUGAUACUAGGUCCACUAGGAUAAUGGGAAACACGGGGAUACAGUCGUCUAGACACGCGGCAGUUGCAUCAGACCAUUUUGUGGCUCAAAAAGUUUCUAAUCGUCACCAAAUGUGGUCUUCUUCCCUGCAAGGCAUAAUGUACAAGGAGUUAGUUAGCAAAUCUAUACAACUCCGGAGAAAGAACCAACCAAAGUUUGCACGCUAGUCUUUUACAUGCUAUACCGACAAAUUUCUAGCAUGCAUCAAACAAGUUAUAUUUUUGUUACUCGACGGGACUGGUUUCUUACCUGCGCUAGCUGUGCCAGCACUCUGUCUGCUCUGAAAGCCUCGGCCGCCUCCUCUGCCGCCAUCACGGCCACCAGACCGGCCAAACCUGCCGCCACCAU
rnacentral:lncRNA from 1 species